AAAAAAAAAAAAAAAAAAACUCCAUUGCAAGAGGCAACACGCUUGAAUUGUCAAUAUCUUAGAAAGCCUUGGAUUGGAAGAUAGGUGAAGAGAAAUGGAUUAGUUAUUGAAGAUGGGGCAUUCUUUCCAAUCUCUAUUACUGAAUGAAUUUCAUGAACAAAAAAAAAACAUUUUUGGUGAAAUCUGCAUGAAGCUCACCAAAUGGUAGAGAAUGGCAUUAAACGAUAAAGAAUAUAUUGCUAAUAUUUUUUGCUUUCAAUGAGAAUAGACACCUUCUUCCUAUGAUUUACGAAUUCAUCAAGAAUUUGAUCACUCCGCAAAUAUUAAAGCCAUGAUGAAAGUUGGCUUGAGCCUCAAGAUGCUAUAAUUAAAUGACACCUAAUGAUAUUAGAGAGCAAUUCAUCGCAGUUGGAAUAUUUUCAAGAAAUGAGAAAGGACCCCUGUUCAAGUUAUUCCACUGAUGCACAUAUUUUAUAUAAAUUUGAGACUGAAAAAGCCUAGACCUGUAGAUACAAAAUAAUAAACAGUUUUGUAAAAGCUGUCUGAAUAGAUAAUAAACAACUAUCUUAUUAACAAUGAUCAAGCAUUCCACUACACAUCAAGAUCCACAAUCCAGCAGACAUUGCAUGAGGUACAAAGAUGAUAAUAAAACAAUUAAUAAUUGAAGAUUGAAAAUUUAUCUUAUUUAUUCACUAUUUACAGAAAAUAAACAGUGCACUACAGUUGACUUUUUUUUUUUUUUUAAUAACUGUCCCUAUAGAUUGCAAUUAAAAAAUAAAUGUGUUUACUUACAUGCAUAAUGAAUCAGCAAGAUAUUCCAUGUGCACUGAUUCAAGAUCCAUCAUAUCUUUAACCUGUAUGAUAAAUGGCACGAAUAUCCAAAAAGUUAUAAGGAAAUUGAAUUACCAGGUCUUAUAGACAAGAUCUAGCCAUCAAAGUUAUCACAAACUGAAAACUAUGAAAUUGACAAUUGAGUGAGGUAGAUGGAAGGUAUGGUAAAUAAAAUUCAAUACAUUUGAUCUUUCUAUAACCCUUAAAACGUAGUCCAUUUUUUUGUAUUUCUAUAACAUUCAAAAUCUACAGUGGAGAUACGGCUAAGAUGACUUCAAAUUUUGUUUAUAAGUUCCUACAUGAGAAUCGUAAAAACAUCCCACAUGAACAAAAUAUUUCCAAAGUUCCUCUUAUGUUAUGCUAUGCGUUCUACCCUUUGGUCGUCAUUAGAAAUCUAAUAUCAGGAAGAUACACAGAGAAUCACAUCACAAAUGCCAAAGGACUUAGAAAUAAUGACAAAUAGUCUGAUUUUGAUUUAUGGGCUUUAUAAUAAAAUAUAUAAACAAACUCACAUCUCACAAAGAAAGAAGGAUGAAUGGAUUAAAUUAAACAGAGGGGAAAAUAGAAGUUUGAGAAAAAGAUGGAAAAACCCCUAAAUUUACCUGAAAAGACUAUUUUAUUUUAUUUUAAAUUAACUUUGAUAAGUACCCAAGUCCAAGUGUACUCAAUUUGUAAUAGUACCCCUGAGAAGUAAUCUUCUAUAAAACACAAUGCAUAAGCAGUUACAAAACAAAGUGUACUUUUAAAUGAAACGAAAGAUGCCCAGAGAAUGAUAACUAAAUAAAAUAAAAUAGCUAUACAAGUUAGAAACAUUUGUCUCAAACCUUAUGUUCAAGGGAAUGAAGAAACCUGCACCAUGAUACAUGAGAUAAUUGUGACUCAACAUACUGCUGCAAAGUAGAUACAAAAUGGUUUAUCUGGUGCCUGUCAUUGAAAGUAGAACAAGGAUGCUUAGAAUUACAAAUAUCAAUAUAAAAGUUCAUCUUCAAUAUUUAAACAGUGCUCAUUAAGUAUCCCUUUAUAAUCAGUGGGAAAGAAAUGGGUAACUGUUGUAUCUUUCAGAACCCUACCCACAGACCAUACCAUCUGAACCUCCAUACAUUUAGAAAAACAACUUUCAGUACCUCAUCUUCAUCAAUAUAUUAAGAUGCCCUGCCUCAAGUUGUAGUUCAGAAUUUUUAUCUUUGUUGGUUGCGUCCAUCAAAUCCUGUUCACCAAAAUUUAUAGAAAAUAAAUUCCAUUACAAUUACACAAUAAGAAGUUCUUGGAUUCUUUUGGAAAUGAACACAGGUAAAAGAAAAAAAGAAAAAAUUUCAAGAAAUCACACCUUUAAUGAGCACCACACAUCUGUCAAUGAAAAAAUGGCAAGCUUCACUUGUAUCAAAAAGCUGAAUAUAUCAGCAUAUAUUUUCAACGCGGCAGGUGUUAAAACAAUACUGAGUGGCCAGUGCACAUGGUAACCCAGCCCUAAGAAAUCAAAAGAACGAACCCCUGCCAAUAUUUACAAAUUCAUUACUUGAUGCCAAAGUGAGGAUAAUUGGUGGGGGAGCUUAUCAAGCUUGCAAUGAAACUAAAAAUAGAAAUAACAUUAACAACUGCUAUCAAUAAAAAUGUUCAAAAGCCAAAAGCUAAUCAAUGUUGUUCACGGUAAAUUAUUUUUGCGGUGAUUGUUAUUUACACAGGAAAUGAGUACAGUAAUAUGCUACAAAAGGCACUCAUAUAGAAACUGAAAAUCCUAUCUAAUUUAAUUAUAUAAAAUGGCUGGAAAUUUUUUAAAAUUUUAAAAAUCAAAUGAAACUUGACUAAAUAAGGAAUAUGCAAUAGAAAAGUAUCAUUAAAAAUAUAGUUGCCAUUUGUAGUUAACUUGAAAUAAUGAUUUGUCCUUUUUUUCAGAUUGUGAUGAAAAUAGCAUACUACGUCGUUAGGAAAAGUAAAAAUUGAUUACAACAGGGGAAUCCCCUUUUUAUAUUAGUAUGGAUGUACCAAUAGCAGAUGCAGAAAGAGGCAAUUUCCCAUGUCCUUUCAUAUACACAAACAACAUAUCCUUGUGAGAAUCUUGUUCACAAGAAGACUUCUGAAUUGACAACUCAAGUAGACCUUGAAUUUCUGAAAGUCUCUCAUUUGCUUCAGUAACAGACCACUUCUGUAAUUUCAAGUAAACCAAAGAAUGAGUAAACACAGAUUAUUUAAGGACAACAGUCAGCUGCAAGAUAUGAAUCUAUGAAAUAUUCUACAAGUUAUUCAGAAUCAGAAUUUAGGAAUACAUGAUGCCAAAGAGACAAGAUAAACAAAUCUGCCCAAUCUGCCAAUUCCAUAAAAUGAUACCGCCGUAGUGCCAAAAGAUGAUCUUGUAACUUAAAUGCUUCCUCGAGGACACUGAUGGUAAGCUUGCUGACAUAAUUGUAUCUGAAAUCUUUAAGGACAAGCAGCACAAGUACACCCUGAAAGCAUUAUACUGAGCAUCUCAACUCAUUUCGAUUGUGGAAUAGGGACCAUAAAUGAAAAAAGAUGAAUUCUAAAAUGAUAUUAUCUGAGAAAUUUUAAUAAAGAUCUUGCUAACCAAUGACCUUAAGGCAUUAGUUGAACAUGAUCAAAAACAAAAUUUUAAUUGGCAAUUACACGGGUGCAUCAGAAAUUAUGGUGAGAGUACACUCAUAACACCGUUUCACAAAAAACACUAAUUUUAAGUCCUUAAUCAAUGUCUUUAUGGCACUGAUUAGCAUUUGCCUCUUAAUAAAAUGUGUCAAUUAAACUUAUUCAACAAACUUGCACCUUAAAAACAUAACUGUCAUCAAAGACUUUCAAACUAAUAUCAUGUACCUAUUAUGCAUGUUACCCAACAUACUAUCAUCAUCUGCACUUAUAAGAACUGACAAUCUACCAAAUUAGCAAUUAUUCCAUUUGCCAAUUUUUACACAUAAAAACCUUCACAUGGUCAUGAAAUUAGCAAUAUCCACUUCAAGAUAUGAUAUUUUAAACAAGUUAGCUGCACAAAUUGCAUCUUGUUAUGACAAUAAUACUUGAAAUACACCGACACCUAUAGAGCAGAAAUUUCAAAUGCCAUCAAUUGGUCAAUGUAGCAUGUCCCACCUUAGGAUCAAGGACUGUUUGUUUUGGUUGAAGAAGCAUUCUCACAUUUUAAAACACUCAAAUAAAAUACUAACACGGAUCUUUCAUGGUUUUUAGCUUCUUGAUCAGACAAUUUUGAAACCCAUUCCAACAGGUCUCAUGAAGUCAAUAGUAAGAUGAGAUUGGAAUGACCAGAAUUAGACUUCACUGAACUGGGUAUUCAUGAUAAAUUCAUACUAGUUUAAUCUAAGUACAUUCAGAGAAAUAGAAGCAAUAUACAUAAACUAAUCAAUCAAUUUUGCCAGAAUAAACACAAAGAAAAGGAUACUGAAGCAUGAUUUCCUGAAGCAAGCACUUGUCAAUUAUAAUAUCAAGUGGUAUAUCAAAUGUUGACGACAAACUUCGUUUUUGAGUAUCAUCACAAUUGACAGUUUUUUCAAAACUACUCAGCAAUCUUUCCCAGCUGCUCCCACCAGACACAACAUUUAAAUAUUUAUGGUCCAUGAAGUCAAGUGAAGAACAUAAAUUUGGAACAUCAACUAACCCAUUCUCUCUACCACAGCCAAUUUCUUCUCGUUCAUUAUUCUCAGCAUUAUGAGUUGACACAUUAUUAUGUAGCGUAAAUGAACAUGCACUGCUACAUCUAGAGUUAGUGGGUAUUUUGUCCAUAUAAACCUUACAUGGGUCCUCCACAGUAGAAAAGUUGAAGUAAGGCAAAAGCUGUCCAUGUUCAGCCUUGUAUUUUUCCUCAUUCCCACUCAUCAGGUGAAGAACUGAAUUUCUUGUCAACAUAGGAUUCACACUAAGGGGAUUAAUGCUAGGAUAAUUACACUGACGGCAAUAUUUCUGCGGUUGGAAAUCAUACAAUUGUGAAAUGAGUGUACCAUUGUCAGUUUGAUCCUCCAUCAUGGCCUCCCCACUCAAAGUAUCACUAGCAGUAAUAACAUCAUGGCAUAACAUAGAAUAUCUCAGGGAUCCCAGGUGCUUUUCAUUCAGCUUUGCCUCAACAACUCCAUCGUUAUCAAAUGAAGUUUUCAAAAAUUCACCCAUUGCAGAACAACGGACAAUCAAACUCUCUCUAUAUUGAAUACUGGAUUUACAUGAGCAGCUUGAAUUCCCUGGUUUUGGAGAAUUAGACUUGUGACUUGAUAUCAUUCCCUCAUGGGAGGACUGCACCAAGUGAUCAGUAGCAUCCCUUCUAUCACAAAGUUCAUGUGAAUCACUGCCUGAGUUUUCAUGAUGAAAGGAAUUUUGUAUUGAAUUAUUUAAGGUGGCACUCUUCAAGAAGCUUAAAGCAGAUAAAUGAUUUUGUUGCCCAACUACCGGACAAGACCAAUUACUUAGCUGAUCACAAUCCAAUUGCUCCACAGAGCUGUUCGUGGAUGAACUUUCAGAUAUAUCAUACACAUCUUCCAGCAAGGAGAACUCAUCUACUGUGCUUGAGACAUCAGAGCCUAAAUCACCAAUGCCCCUGAGAAAAUCUAUAAAACAUCAAUGAAGCAAAAACAAAGGGAAAUAAAGUUGUCAUGGAAAAAAAUACGAUGUCAAGCAGCAAAUAAACAGAAGCAUGCUACUCGGUACUUGUAUCUUCAUGCUCACAUGGAAGGGGGAUAGUCAGAUGAGGGGAGUAGGAAAUUACAUAUUUAAACUUCUUUUAUCUGCUAUAUUGUUUUCUGACAUGAUCUGGUCUAGUUUGUCUAAGGUACCUCCACCAUUACCAAAAGAAGGCACUAAAGCAUGCAUAGCUACCUGCCAAAGAAAAAUGGUAAAGAAAUAAGUAUCUGCACAAAAUGAAGCAGUCUGCUGUCCUAAUCCUGCAACUAUCUUAUUUUAUACUUCCUAUGGUCCUUUUAUUGAAGUUUCUCAUUCCAAAACUUAUUGUAGAUCAAAACAAAAAGUAUAUAACAUCACUUAAGCAAAUGGAUAAUGAUGAAAAAUAACUGCUAUAAUGGCCGGCUAAGCAUUGGUGUCUUUUGGCAAAUCAAUUGAGACAUUGUAUUUGCAUGUAACAACAAAUAUAACAAUUACAGGAAAGUGACACUUCCACUGGACCACAUAACAUCAUGAUGAAAAGAAACAAGAUUUUAAUGAUAAAGAAAAACACAGUAAUUUAUAGCACAAAGUAAAAAUAUAAAACAAAAUUAUCAUCAUAUCUGCAGAGCAGCAAUAGUGUGUAGUUACUCUCUCCUAAAUCAUAGCAGGCAUUAUGAAAACAAAAAUACCACAUUUUUUGCAACUCUACUUGAUUAUAUUAUAUCAAUGACUAACCCUCCUAGAAGUUUACCACUGUUGGGUGAAAGGUCAUCAAUGGCAUUAUUACAUCUCUAAAAUAUAACCAAGUGCAAGAGCUCUGUAAGCUUGAAACAUGGGCAAUGCACGUACCCAUUUCAUGUGUCAAAAUUCAACUUUUAUUUAAAGAAUUAGGGCAGCAAGAGUCAAAUUUCUGACCAUUUGGUCAUAAAGACUUUCAUACUGGUCAAGAUCCAACGCUUGCCAAAAGCACAAGGCACUAGGUAAGUGGUACAAAGAUAGUUUUUAAUACCUCCUAGCAUAUUAGAAGCAGAAUGCUAAAUGGAUAAAUUAUACAAAAUUAAGCAGGGGAAUAUCUUGCCAGAGGUGUGAUUUAACAAAAGCAAUAAUUUGAUGCAUUUUGCCAGGAAAUAAACCAAUUUUUUUUCCUUGAUUAUGGUGUUCAGCUAGUAUGUUUAAGUGGGUUUCCUGCUUUUUAGUGGUAAUUGCACAAGAACAAUUUAGAGGUUGUUUAGUUUGAGGGUGCUUUCUAUUUUCACUUUUAAUUACAAAAUAUCACCUUGUUUUCAUUUUAUUUCUUUUCAAAGGUUUGUAUAGAAAUUAGCAAAAACAAAAUACAAUUGCUUUCAUUAUUUUCUGCACAAACUUUUAAAACAAGAAUAAGAUAAAAACAAGGCAGACUUUGUAAUUAAAAGUAAAAACAAAAAAUGAAAAUAGAAACAUUUUUUCAAACCAAAAAGAUUAAAGUUCUAGCCUCGUAACCCUUUUCUUCUAUCAUGCAAAUAAAAUACUGUGUUAUUGCAAAAUAACCAAAACUAUGGAGGAUGAGCACCUGCAGAUAUCUAACUUCUAAACUGCUCAAAAGACUUCCAAUUUUCUCAUUCAUCCCUUUAUAAUAAUUUUCUCUAGCAAGCACCAUAGCUUCUAUAACAUCCUUGCUGAAAGCCAAUGGAGAUGAAUAAGACAGACCACUGCUUGAAAAGCCACUCCAGCAGGGUACAAAGUCAUCACAACUGUGUUCUCCAGAAGCAACAUGAAUGCACAUUUCAAGCAAUUUCAACAGUACUUGAAGCUGCUGACCAGCUCUAACAAGUGGGACCAAGAAAUCUUUGAGAAAUUCAGGAAUGGGAACUCCAUCUCGCACCUAAUGUUAGAUGUUCCCACCAUCAGAAUCAAUAAUAUGACAAUGUAAUAUAAAGUUAUGAUUCAUACGAAAAGUGCAAGCAGCCAGCAGGAAAUAAUUACCUUCACACUUGCCAAUGGAAAGUCAAUAGCAUUGCCAACUUUAACAUGUGUUUUAAGAUGUAAAUACUCCAUAUUUUCUACAAUAAACUCCUUAUAUGGAUCAUGAAUUUCUGCUUUGAAAAUCCAUGAUCUAAUGAACCCACAAUAUGGUUCACAUGAUUGAAGGAAAAGAAACUUCAGCAGAGUGCAGUGAGCAGGAUCAGCAACCUAAAUUGCAGAAGGCCAAAUAGAAUACAAGAUUUUCAAUAAAGAAAAGUCAUUUAAAAUAGAAAGAUCUUUCGCAGGUGUAAUGCAAUCGUUCCAUUGCAACAAAUACGUAAAACAUUGAGUAGGUAGGCCCCUCAUGACAAUUCUACUCUCCACUAGCCUGUCAUCUCUCCAAUUUAAAAUUGUAUUUGUAUCUUUCUGGAUGCUACAACUCUUCUUGUCCAAAUGUCCUUUGACACCAGAAAAAGAAAAAAAAAAAAAUCCAACAAUCUUCCUACCAUAAUAAGCUAUUUUGUAAUCCAUUAAUCACCAAAAAAAAAAUAUUGGUAUCCCAAACUAAUCUUUGUUUGUCCCCUUCUAAAAUGAUAAUUAAGGGAUUCACCAAAAGAUAAGUAUAGGUGGAUAUAUGCCAUGAAGUAUUCAUUUAACAGUGCCCUUGAUUGAAACUUCAGUGUUUGAAUAAAAUAAUAACUAAGAGAUAAUAACGAAACGGGAAACAAAUUCUAAGAGAUAAGCUAAAAUUUUACAAGAUAUAAACAAAGAGUCUGUUUGAUAUUUUCCAUAUAUUCUAACAAUAGGUUCACAUUCAAAUAAGCAAACCUGUAAUUGUGAAAACAAAAACGUUAACAGAUUUGCCCCUCUGCAGAAGUUCCGAAAUUCAGAAGUAGCCUGGGUAACCAGGUCCUCAAAAGCAGUAUCUGGAAAACGAAGAGCCCACUUUUGAAGGUUACAUACACUAGCAAGGGCUUCAAUCUGAGUCUUUAGUUCUUUUGUGUGCAGAUAAAACUCAAGUAGUGUAAUUUCAGAAUGCACUACAUUCUUCAAACACCCCGGAACAGUCAAAUGCAUGUUUUUUGAUGAACGCCUCAAGAUUACAGAUGUAUGAAUUGUGUCCAAUCCACAUAUGUACCCUUCCAAGACUUUUCCCACAGCAACAGCAAAGGCUUGAUUGACAAGAGUAAAUGGAGGGAACUGUUGUGCUCUGACUGUGUCAUCCUGAUGAAUCUGGCUUUGGAGCACAUCAGAAUUAUGAUGAGUGUGUCCAAAACUGAUAUCCACAUUCAUAUUUGUAUAAUAAUCCACAAACGCGCGAAGAAGAAAGACCAGAGAAGCCGUGCAGCCAAUGGAUUUAAGUAUAUUUCCCAAAGAACGAGUGCUGGAAGCACGAUUCCAGAGGUUGGGAACGUGGAGGAAGGUCCUGUCAGCUGGAUCAGAACAAAAGACGGCAGAUAUCCUUUGAAUGCUAAUAAGGGAUGAUUUUGCACCUUGCAUCGCGUUCAUGGCCAGCCUCACCAAACUAGAUUCCUGUGGCCAAAGACGUCGGUUCAAUUAAGUUCAAAAUGUAUAGAUAGAUAGAUAGUGAUGGAAAACCAAAGCCUAAGAAAGUAGGAAAGCAAAUGUUGGAAAUCGACUAGGUUAGUUUGAGACGGUAAAACGCAUUGCAUUACAGUGGAAAGCAGGAAUGAAGACGAAUAGAAUAGGUUAGAAGAGGAACUUACAGAGAGAGUGGAGAGGUGAGAGAGAGGUUGAUUUGGAGGAUGAGAAGAAGAUGAAGAAGAGUGCAGUCCACUCUCAGAAGGUAUGGAUUCCCAUGAAUUUGGGGGAAGCCAUGGAUCCUCUACCUUCAAAUCCUCCAAUAACCGCGCAAAUUUCGUAUCAACCGCCAUGGCUGCUUCCCUUCUCUUGGAGUGAUGAAGUAAUGUAUCAAAGGAAUUUCAAAAUAAAUUCAGAUUCUAUCUCAUCUCAACCAAAUCUCUCUCGCUCUUCCCUUCCCCGCCCCUACUUUUUAAAUUAUAUAUACACUCAAUAUUUACAAACAUCUGAUUUUUUAUGAAUUUACCAGAAAAUUACUAAAAUAUGUAAAAUUAAAUUCGAUUGAACAAAUUCCUUGAACAUUUACUUUGAACAGGCUUUAUAUGAAACCAGAAUUAUGUAGCUCAAGAAGAUUUACUAUCAAGUGAGUGAUAUAACAGAAGAAAACAAAAAGAUAAAUUACUUACAUUUAAUCAGGUGAAAAACAGAAAAUAAAAAAAACUUUGCUCCUUAUUAUUACAUUACAAAUUAUAUAUAAUUUUACUCUUUUUUUAAAUAAUUAAUAAAAGUCGAAAACGAAUAAAAUUAUAUAUAUAUAUAUAUAUAUAUAUAUAAUUUUAUUAUUUUCAUGAUUAAACUUCUUUCUAUCAUAAAAAAGAUAUAAAAGUAUUGUUAUAAUAGUAAUUGAAAUAAAAAUUAUUAUUAAAUUAAAGAAAAUUUCAUAAAAAAUAAUUAUAAAAAACUAAAUAUAAAUUUUAGAUAUUUUUGAUUUAUUUUAUAAAUAUUUUUUUAAUAUAAGUAAUUUUUUUAGUUUUAAAACUAAUUCUUUAAAAAGUAAAAUGACAGAAAAUUGUGUAAAUACGAAGGAUUUAUCAAUGUUAAAAAUAAAACCAUUAUAAUGAAAAGUAAUCGUAAAAAUAAUUAUUUGUAUACUUUUAUUGUAGGUAAUUUUUUUAAUUUUUAAGUAAUUCCUUUUAUUAUAAAUAGUUAUUUUAGUUUAAUAAAACAAUCACCUAAAAGAUAAAAUGAUGAGAAUUUGUGUAUAUUGGAAGAAAAAAAUUCAUUUUACUAAUGUUAUUUUUAAUAUAAAAACAUCUGAAAAAUAAAUAUUUUUCAAUUUAUUUUAUUAAAAUACAAAGCAAAUAUCAUGAUUUGGAAUGAAUGACAAUUUUAAAGGCAAAUACUUGUUAAGGUGAUUGUUACUAAUUUACCAUGCAGAGAAAGUUAAAUUUAUACAAUUAUAACAAGGUGCAUUUAAGAUAAAAGUCAACUAAUUUAAACUUGGAUAUUUUAAGGACGUCUUAUUUUAAUUUGUUUACGUCAAAAAUUUUACUUGUACUAAACUAACAUAUUGUAAUGUUUUCUUUUCAUUUUAGUUGUAAUUUUGUUUCAACUUCAAUAUAAUUUUUUAAAAUAUAUUUUUUUAUGUUACAUACAAUAAAACAUAUUACAAUACAAAUACUAGGUAUUAUUAAAAGGUCUCUUAUAAUUUUCAAUUCAAUCUGAAUCAAUUUGAUCAUUUUCUAAACAUAUCAAUUAAACCUUUUUUUUUAUUAUUAUAUCAUAUCAACCAAAACUAUUCUUAAUUUUUUUUUAAUCAUUUUCUUUCACUUUUUCCUUUCUUUUCUUUUUUUUCCUUUCCAUUUUCUACUUUCUUGUUUACACUUCUCUGCCCAAACAUAAAAUUAAUCUUUUCUCAAUAGAAACUCAUACAUAUUGCUCUAACCAUCUCUAAACCACAAACACAAAUAUAAUAAAGAUUCUACUCACACUUUCUUAAAAUAUGUCUAAUUAAUGGGUAAUAACAUUUCUAUAGCAUGGACAGCAAAAAUAUACUUACUGACAGGAAAAAUAUACCAGUUAUCGUAAUGUGGCUAUGAUGGACAAAAUAAGAUUGAAGGAACUGUUACAAAGUGGCAGAUGAUUCUCUCUUUCACUGGUUUAAAUUCCUGUGAAUCAACUGACCUGAAUUUAAUUCAAUGACACUGCUAUGUAGAGUAGCACUGUAGCAUGACAGAGUCAGCAUAGCUUUAUGGUUAGGAAAAAUGAAAUUCCAAAUGGUGUGACAACAAGCUCAAACCAACAUCUGGUGAAUUCUGAGGAAACCCGAGCGGAAGAAUUUGCGUUGUAAAAAUCGAGUGAACUAUAAUUUAGAAAGGCUGAGAAAGAUAGACCAUUAACUCAACAAUUUGUGACAUCCCAACUUCUUUGCAUGUAUAGAGGCAAAUCCGCGACCAAUUCAAGCCGUUCCACUUGUGAAAGAUCACAAUUGGAAAAUGAUUGCACAUUUUGCAGUGCCUGAGAUAUAUUGGGUAAGACUAUUUGCUUGCAAUGAAGAUGUAAACGAGGAUGGUUCUCAGAGAUGCUCCCAUUGUUCAAAUUAAGGCCAAAGGGGAGUGUUUCUUCCUUGAAAAGCUCUUCACAUGAGUCCUCCACAUUAGACAAAUCAAAACCUCCCCACUGCCUGUGAGCCUGCCAUCCAUACUUGUAGUCCCCAACUAUCGGUGUACCUAACACCUCGGCACAGUGCACUCGAAGCUGUGGCACCAGUAUACACUCUUAGAAUAGAAAUUAUAGUGAGUCAUAUAAAAUAAUUUUAACAUUUUAUGUUCUGACUGACACAAAUUUCAAAUGAUUCUUCCCUAGUUUUUGUUACCUGGUGUUUUCUACCAGUUAAAGGGGACAACUCCAACCAUGUGUAACCUGCACUAUGUGAGAUGGCAUAAGUAGGGGGUGCCAGAUAAGAAGAGCUGAGGCGAAGCACUUGACAGGAAAAUUCAUGCUAAAGAGGGUAGACAAAAAAUACACAUCACAAUUUUUCUACAAAUGUAGGUUCAAUAUUGGCAAAUAUAUGUUGUUGAGAUUAAAAUCAGAUCCCCUCUAGCUGGUGCGUUUACUUAUGCUUUUGGCAGACUGUAAAUUCUAUUUCCCAAACAUGAAAUAGUCAAAGUCAUAUUUGGUACGUGACCAUUAGCUCUUUUUGUCAGGGACUCUCUGCCUUUCUAGUAUCAAGUGGAAAUGUUGAACAACAUUAUUUAGUAAAACAAUUUGUAAGCUAAAAUAGUUUGGAAGCAUGCAUUUUUUUACAUCGCACAAACUUUAUAAGCAGUAUUGUUAAAAUUUGCUUCCAGAACACUAACGACAUUUAAUGACCCCAACUCAUUAACAAUUAGUGAAAACGAGAGUGGCUGAAACUGGGGUCCUAAAGAGUUUAAAAUAUCACAAAAACAUGUAACACGGGAAAAUAAUGGAAUUUGUUCUUAUCACUCUCAAAGAAAAUUUGUGAAAUUUAAUCUUAGAAUUAAAAGUAAGCUUCAUUACCAACCUUGUGAUGAUGAUGCAAUCACUCGGUACUCUGUAAUUGCAUGCUGUGAUGACAAUGAUGCAGAAUUGUCAACUACAGUUAUUCGAUCAGAUUUCCCAUUGUCAACUACCACCUGAAAACAAAUAAAGGGCUGCAAGUUUACAACAUUAUCAAGCAAGAAUAAGGAGCUUUCUAUAGCUACUCAAAUCAAUGUCCAUUUAUUUAAAGCUAUAAGUUAAUUUAGGUUGUAGGCUAUUGCAUAGUAAGUUGUAACUGUAAGGCCUAAGCUUUCAUGUCAUCAUGCAUUGCCAGAUAGUUGGCAGCAAUCCAUGAAUGUAGGGCUUCAUUUUAUGGAUACUAAGAAGUUUUUUUUGAGCUUGCUGUUAAAGCAUUAAAGGAACCAUCGUGACUAAAACAAGGAUUUAUCAGAAAAUCAGCUACCCAUAAGAAGAUAAAAGGAUUAAAGGACUGAGGUAAAUUCAUCCUGCAUAACACUCCCCACUAUUUGAGGAAAAUAAUUGUUCAAACUUCCUUUGACAGUGAAAGCCAUGAUAAAUUUAGUAAUUACUGACAGCAUAUACUACUGGUUGCAGUUCAGUGCAAAGCAUUUUUUUUAUUUAUGCACACUACAAAAGUAAACAUUUUAUAAGUUUGACAAUUCUGAUACGAAAUGGAUGAAGCAUGCACAAAGCAUAACAUUCCAGGAGUAAGAUUGACCAACUGAAAUAUUCUAGUAAACAGUUAACAAGCAACAAUAUGGAUACAACCUUACCCAGUGAAGCAGUGACCAACCCCUUUGAACGUCUAGGACAUCCAAGGACAAGUGCCCAAUACCUUCUUUGUAGUAUUCUCUUCUCUUCGCCAAUCUAUUUAAGAUCAAACAGCAAAAAAUCAAGAAAAGCAAUGAAAUGGACAUAGACCCUAAGAAACUAAUACUCUGAAUGUUUUAGCAUACACGAAGCAUUUGAUGUAAAAGAACAAUUAUUUUACUCACAUCAUCUAAUGCCCUAGAUGUUUUCUCCCGAAAGAUGGAAUGCAGAACUGUGGUACUUGUCUGUGUUCUUCCCAUCACCAGUAGGCCAGAACAGUCUCUGUCUAGUCUAUGCACCUAAAAACAAUUUCGUUCAAGUAUCAGCCUAAUAUCUAGUUCAUGCUUCAUGUAUCCAAACAACCAUCAAUCAUAUUGGCACGGGACUAAAACACAAGGCAAAUAAUCCGACUAAUUCCAUUGAAGUUAAGUUCAAGCUUUGUAAUGAUUAUAACAGAUGAAACGGUAUUUGAUAGAAGAAUAAUAAAUAAUAAUGUUUACCACUUUCUUUUACGAAGAUACCACUGGGAUUUUUCUAACUGUCGAGUCUUGAGUAUACGAACAAUUAAAGUUUAUCUAAUGAUAAAAUUAAAAAAAAAAAUCCUGCAAUUUUUAUUAGAUGUAUUGUUUACAAUUGCAAGCAAUUCCUGAUACUUCUAAAAGGGCAUAAAAAAAAUCUGUAAUUGUACACUGGUGCAGGAAACAGUAUAUUGCUUCACAGAGGAAAAAGGCUUCAUCGUGUCAUGGGUUCUUAAAUACUUAUAUUUUUGCCAUUAUACAAAAAACCAAUGCAAAAAUUUGAGCAGUAAGUUGAGUGCACGAUCAUCUUGAGUUCUUCCCUCCCAGGACACAAACAGCUAGAGCCAGUUGUUAUGUGAAAUCAUUAGCAAAAGAACAAUAAGCUGAAAAUCAGUUUGCAUUUGCCAAACACUCUAUUUAACCCUUUUUUGUCGUCAUAAUAGAUUAAAUAACAUGCUGAGGAAGAAACGAAGAUAGAUGCAAUUAUAAACAGUUUGGUACUAGAAAAGGCAUGACAAAGUGAAUGAAAAAGAAGAGAUUGCACAAGUACAGAUACGAUAAAGAUAAUAAAGAGCUUACCAGACGAGGGGGUUCAGAGUAUUCAUAAUUUAAACAUGCAGCAGCUACCGCAUCUAAACUGUGUUUGAUAUUAAUGCCACCCUAAUGAGAGACAUGGAAAGCAUGUGUAAGAAUUAAUGAGUGAAGAAGAGUAUGGCAUCCCCAGAUGAGAGGGUGGGCCCAUACCUGCACAGGCAUUCCCGGAGGUUUGUUGAGGACGAGAAUGGCAGGAUCCUAAACACAUUAACAAAGAUUAAGAUUAAGGUGAGAGGAACAUAUGAGACAUGGAAAAAGAAAAAAGGAGUUAACGUUGAAAACCUUGAAUAUAACAAAUUUGCGGAUGAAGUUGAUUUGUUGGGGAGUGAGAGGAGAAUGAGGUUUGUGCGUAGGCGUUGGUUUUUGUUGAACAGAUUGAGGCAGUAAAAUCCGAUCUCCAGCGUUCAAGGUGUACUUAGCUGCCACCUUCAUUCCUCGAUGUUAUGAUAAUACGAUGGGUGGUAUAACAGGAGAAGAAGAAAAAAUGAAUGGAAGAGAUGAGAUGGGUGCUUACCCUUUUGAGUGUUUGCUGUUGCAUGUCCAUGUGAGGGGGAGAGAGAAGUCGAACUUGUCUCAGACGGAAAAGCUUGUGCAGAAGGGAUAUGGGGAGGUUUGGGCAGCAGCGAACAAUCCAUUUCAGCGCGGUGGUGGAAGUGGAGGAGAGUUGGUUUCCCUUUCCCUUUCUCUUUCCAUUCACCUCCACGGUGGCAGUCGCCGCCACGGGAGGCAGCGUAAGCCAUUUCUCCUCCAGCUGCCUUCCCGCCGACAAGUGCCGCCGACCACUCCUCAACGCUCUGAACAUCCAUUCUGCUUGUGCCGCCAUCGUCAAUCUCAUCUUCACAGGGUUUCAGUUUACACCCUCUUCUCUCUUUCUUGUUUUUCCUUUCUUAGCAAAGCAAAUCAUAACACGUCCAAAUUUAAAUUUGAAAAUCCAUCAAAUUUUCUACAUCCUUGUAGCUCUAUGAUCAUGGAGAAAUGCAUCUGAAUCAGGGAUAAAUGUAUUUUGAAAGGUUUAUUAGAGGUGAGAAAUUUAAUUAUUAAGAUUAUGGUGUUUCUCUGAAAAAACCUCUAAAAAUUUAAUAAUUUAAAAAAUAAAACAAUUUCAAUAAAAAAAUCAAAUUAAUAGAUUUUAAUUUAUUUAUAGCUAUAUAAAAUUUUCUAUCUGGUUAACAAGCUAUAUACUAAUAUCCUAACAAAUAUUUAAAGAACGUUUUUUAUUUUUUACAUUAUAUUGAAAAAAUAGUUUAAAUUUUAUGUUUUUUAUUUGAACUUGACACUCACAAUUGUCAUAGAUUCCUUCAAAAUAAUAUUUGAAAUAGUUAGCGCCUUAAACGUUGAUGUGGUAAAACAUGUAUAUUUUUCUAGCUACUAUUCAUGUCCACAGUAUAUACAGUAAUACUACAAUUGAAUUUAAAACUUACUAAAGGUUGCACUUUAUUAUUGUAAAAAUAUAAAACAUUUUAUCCACGAAGACAACUCACAAAUCACACCUAUUAACUACUAUAAUUUGAUGGUCAAGCGAAUAAAAGACUAAUAUACCUUGUUAAUAUAAUAGACUAAGCCUCUGUUCUUAUGAAUGGAUUUGGGGGAGAUGAUUUGAGUGGAUUUAAAGGUAAUUUUGUUGUUGUUUUUUUAGUAGAUUUGUGGGUAAUUGAGAGUGAAUUUGAGGGUAAAGUUUGUGAGAAUUAGUGUAGGAUUUGAUUGAUGUGAUAAAAUUAAAAAAUUUGUUAAAUUGGUAGAAAUGAAAGAUUACCAAAAUGCCCCUAGUUAUUUUAGUAAUAUAAAAUGUUUUUUUAAAUGUUAUAUUUAAAUUUAUAAUUGUUAAUAAAGAAAGGAAAUUAAUUUAUAAUAAGUGAAAUUAAUUUUUAAAAUAUUAAAAAAAUAUUUUUAAGUAAAAACAUCAAAGCCUGGAACCGGAUACGCACUCCAUGUAUCCGGAUACGCUUCUUUUCCAUUUUCUGAACAAAACUGUAUCCGGAUACAGCAACAGUGUAUCUGGAUACCUGCACCACAUUCACGCCAUCUUCAUCAUCAAGCUUCGUCUUCUUCUUCCGCCGGCGUCAUCGGCCUCCUCCUUCGUCUUCAUCAUCCCCUCUGCACAACCACACGUCUUCCACCUGCAAAAAAGAAGGUGGAUAACUAUGCCCAAGACUGCAAAAUCACAUGGCAAUGCAAAAGAACAGUUCUCUCGUGAAACAACAGAGGGUAGAUGAGUCUUUUCCGAUUAAAUCAUCGCAAAUCCUCUCGUUUUUGCGAGAUGGUGAGACAAUGCAUAUAAGUCACUCGUCGCAAAUCCGUCCGCGUACAAUCCGUUCAAAGGAACGCAAAAUUUGAAAGUUUCCUCGCUCGCAAAUUGGUGUGCACAGUAAAAUCAGUGCAAAUGAACAAAGCGUAAGAGGUUAUGAAUGAAAAUAGAAAAAUCAACACUAAAAAAUUGAAUUAGUGAAAAAAAAAAUCAUCUCAUAUUUUAUAAUUUUAAUGAAAGCAUAUUUAAAAAAAAAAACGUUAAUUAUAAAAUAUUCUUUUAAAUAUAACAUUGGGAAUACAUUCGUGUGUAAGUAUAGAAAUAUACAUAUGAUGAAUAUCUUAUUAUAUUUAUUAGACAAAAUUUAACAUCACAAAUUAAACUAUUAGGCUCACAUGUUGAUUGGAUAAAUAUAUUAAACGAAUUUAUUCAUAUGUUAACCAGGUAAGUUUCUGAAUAACAUGAAAUAAAUAUUUUCAAAUACAAAUAUAAUCAUUUAUAUUAUACGAAUUUAUCUUCAAAUACAAAUAUAAUCAUUUAUAUUAUACGAGUUUAUUUGUACAUUAAUAAGAUAGAUUCAUCAAUACAAAUUAAAAAAAAAGUUAUCUACUAAUUAAACAAAAUUGUUACUCUUUAAACAAAUUUAAUGAUAUACAGUAAACUACUGUGAUUAUACAACAAUUAAGUAAAUAUAUUAAUAAACAUGAGUAUAUUUAUAUAUUAAUUAGAUAAAUCUAAUAACUAGACGAAUGUACCAUUUUAUGAUUACAUAAAUCUCUUAAUAUACAUAAAAUUAAAUUAUUCACAUACUGUUUAUAUAAGUCUAAGAAUGUACUCUACACAAAUAUAUCCAUACAAUCAUUAUACGAGUCUAUUAGCAUUUGUUAAAUAGAUUUUUUAUACACUAAUUAUAUUAAUAUAUAUAUAUAUAUAUAUAUAUAUAUAUUAAUUAUUAGACAAAUUUAUUAAUGUACAUUAAGAGGUUACACAUAUAAUGAUUUAACGAAUGUAUACAUAUAUACAAAUUAAACAAUUUUAUUUAACAUUAUUUUCAUGCUUUUAGUCCCACCAAUAAACAUAACACUGGAAAUAAUUAUUCUAUAUAUUUUUUUUUCAUGUUAUAUCUUUCUUCUAUUUUUACAUUCUUAUUUAUAGCCUCACCUUUAUAUUUUUUGAGUUAUAUAUAUAUAUAUAUAUAUAUAUAUAUAUAUAUAUAUAAUUUUACAUCUUCUACUAUUUUACAUCAUUUGGGACUUUAUAACGCUAAAUAAUAUUUAUUUUUAACCUCUUAAUUUAUAUAUGAUUUAAAUAAAAACAAAAUUCGGUGAUUAAAAAUAUCCAAGGCAUGGAAAUGAGCUUGGGUUGGUUAGUCAUUGUGUAAGAAAUGAAGUUUGGAAGGAGAUUCCAGGAAGCUGUUGUGAAUUUAAGCAGAAAUUAUUCGUGGUUGAAAAGUAGUGGGAAGAAGAAAGGUGAGGCACAACCGUAGAUGCCAGUCACAAUCAUCUGGGAGGAUGCAGUGGCAGGUUCAAUGAACCAGGUUGCCAUAUGCAUACAUAUUCCUUCCUCAGCUUAGAACCACAACCAAACAAAGUAACCCUAGAAUGGCGUUUUUGGAGUUUACAAGACUUGAUGAAAGGUCAGUGAUAGAGUACGUGAAGAGCGUCGCCGCCCUCUCCUCCUUGCUGAAGCUGGACGAUGAGGACGCCGCCACCGAGAAGCUAACCGUGAAAGAGAUCGGAGAUGGUAACCUGAACUUUGUGUUCCUGGUGAGCAACUCUUCCCAUUCCGUUAUCAUGAAGCAGUCUCUCCCUUACAUUCGUUGCAUCGGAGAAUCAUGGCCACUGACGAAAGACAGAGCAUACUUUGAGGCCAUGGCCCUGGAAGAACAGGGUCGCAUCACCCCUCACCAUGUCCCACAACUCUAUCAUUUUGACCCAACCAUGUCCUUGAUCGCCAUGCGCUACCUUCCCCCUCCCCACAUCAUACUCAGGAAAGGCCUCAUCGCUGGAAUUCAGUAUCCGCUCCUCGCACGCCACAUCGCACACUUCAUGGCAAACACUCUCUUCUUCACUUCUCUCCUUUUUCACUCCACACUCGAUCACAAACGCCAAGGUCAAUGCUUUAACAAACCCAAUUCAUCGUUUGCCUCUGCUUUCAUUCAAGUCCUAACCUUUUGGCUGAUUCUUGUUUCUAGUUGCAAAAUUCUGUGGGAAUUCCGCCUUAUGUAGGCACACUGAGCAGGUUGUUUUCUCCGACCCUUAUCAAAUUUCUCAAUACAACCACUGGACUUCUCCCUAUCUUGAUCCUGAUGCCGAAGCUCUUCGUCACGACAAUCUCCUCAAGCUUGAAAUUGCUAUCCUCAAAUCUAAGUAUAUGCCAUUCCCACACUCUACUCUGCUAUGCUCUGUUCUGCUCACGCACAUCAACUUUCUAAUAGUUUUUGCUCCUCCAGGUUCUCAGAGCAGGCCCAGGCACUCAUUCAUGGGGAUCUGCACACUAGUUCUGUCAUGGUUACUCUCGAAUCAACUCAAAUCAUUGAUCCAGAAUUUGCAUUUUAUGGACCAAUGGGUUAUGACAUCGGUGCUUUCUUGGGAAACUUGAUGUUGGCUUUCUUUGCGCAGGAUGGACUUGUUGAUCAACCCGAUCAUAGAAAAGUACGUCCAAUUCUAGUAUUGACAUUUUAUCUGAUUCUUAGACUUUCUCUCGUUAAGCUGUCAAAAACAGAAACUCUCUAUUUAUCUGAACAAAAUAAUGAUUUUGCAGGCAUAUAAGGAGUGGAUUCUUGAGACAAUCGAAGACACUUGGAAUCUCUUCUACAAAAAUUUCGUUGCACUUUGGGAUGAACACAGAAAUGGUGCUGGCGAGGCAUAUCUUCCAGCAGUUUAUAACAAUCCUGAGGUUCAACUCCUUGCGCAGAAGAGAUACAUGACAGAAUUGUUUCAUGACAGUCUUGGAUUUGGUGCUGCCAAAAUGAUAAGGUGAUAUAAUUUAACAAAAGAAUGGAAAAAGAAAAUGAAUUAGAUAAAAUUAAUGUAUGUAUGUACGUAUGUUUGACAGGAGAAUCGUAGGAGUUGCGCAUGUUGAAGAUUUUGAAUCCAUUACUGAUGCUGCUAAACGGGCUUCCUGUGAACGGAAGGCUCUUAACUUGGCUAAGAUGCUUCUCAAAGAUAGAACAAAAUUUGAAGGCAUUUCUCAGAUUGUUUCAGCAAUUCGGCAAUUUUAGUAUACACAAGUUUUUCACUAACUACUAUGAUGUGAUUUUUAGGAGAAUAACGGUGUCAUAAUAUAUUUUUAUAUUCGACAUAGAAAAUAAAGAUAAAAUGAUUGUAAAAAUAUAAAAUUUUGUACUUUAAAAAAAAAAUAUUAAAUAAAUGUAUGAUUUUAAUAUCUUGUAUCUUUCCUCACUUAAUUUAGAUUUUUAUUACAUGGUAAAAGUUUGUACUUCUCUUAUUUAUAUUAUAAAUUGAUCGAUACAUAAAAUAUAUUUUUUCUUUCCAAAUAGAAAUUAUGUAUAAAAACACGAUUUUUAUUUUUUAAUAUAUAAUUUUUAAAUUGUGAAUGCAAGCACGCUAUUUUUUUUUUCUAAAUUGAUGUCUUUACCUUUUAAAUUUGGAGUGGUUUAAGUUGUGCGUAAAUAUAUAUUUAUUUUUCUCACAAAAAAUGUUUUUAUUGUGGAAGGUUAUCAUAGAAAAUAGUCCAUAAACGAUUUUUAUAUUUAUUUAUUUAUAUGUUCAAUGCCAUUAAUAUUUAUUAUUCAAAUUAUUAAUCUAAUUAUUAUUAUUUAUUUCUUAAAACACAUUCAAUUAAUACAGUUUAUUUAAUUAAUAAAUCCAAACAUCUAUUUAAAAUUACAAACCAUCUAUACAUUUUAAAAUUUUCUAAAUUUUUAAAUGACAAAAGAAGCGGUUCUUUAAAAGAAACCAAACGAAGUGAAAUUUUGUUCUUAUUUUCUUUAAAUCAGUUCGUUAAUGAAGACACUAGUUCAGCUUCUUCUUCUUCUUCUUUUUUUUUUUCAAAAUGAAUAACUAUUUUUAAUUACUUUUGAAAAAAUUGAAAAAAAUAUCACCAUCUACUUAAAAUAAGAUAUUAAGCAUUUGAUCGGGGAAUUAUCUCAAUUUUAACAAAAUAUGAUACCAUGUCAUGGUGGUUGUAGAAAUUAAAUUAUAUCAUAUUCAAUUAAAUUUAACCCUUAAAUACUUUAAAUAUUAAUAAUAAAUAAAUAAAAGUAAGAUUAUGAUUGUAAUUAACAAAGAAUGAUAGUCCUAUAUUAAUAUACCAUUUAAAGAAGUGUUUGAAACGUAAUAAAAGAAAAAAUAAAAUAGAAAUGAUAAAAUGUUCUUCAAAAAGAAUAAAGCCCCUCUGAAUGACUGAACAAUAUAGUCUUUUGUUAACAAAAAUUCAUCAAUCUAUCUAAACUUGCUAAAAUUUCAUUUAAAUUUCAACUUUUAGUGACCUAUUAUCAAUAAAAUUUAAUCUAAUUCAUUCGUUAAUGUUUUUGUAAUAAUUAAAAAAAAAUACCCGUGUCCACAAAAUUAUUUUAAAAAAUUGACUAUCUUUUACAAAAUUUUCUCUUUGAAUCGCUUUAAAUAAACUCUAUUUGUAUGUGAAUUUGUGAUAAGUUAAAAAAAAAAUUAUUAUAUAAAUAAAGUAUAUUUGAAGAAUACUUACAUGAAAUAUGUGAGAUGUCGAGGAAAUAAUGAUAAAAAGAAAAAAUAUAGUAAGGAGUGAAGGAUGAAAUGUAAUUUAAGCUUAGAAGAUAAGUUUAUAAUUACACGUAUAAUUUGAAUAAAGAUGUUGAUGAGAUUACAUAGAGAAAAUUGAAGAAAUGGAAGUGUUGUUGUUCAGUGACCGCGUCCUCUGUGGCUUGGACCAGAGUAAGCUCUCUCCAUUAUUACAGAGAGGAAGAAGGAUGAAGAAGAAGACGGAUCAUCUUUCAGCGGUCUCACUCCCUCAACGUUCAUGGAGAAAGAGGCCAAAACCAAAAACAUUACCACAAAACAAUAAUAAACACUCUUCAUUUUCUUCCAAUUCUCAAUGAAUCAUGCUCUGCAUCUACAUCUAUCAAUAUAUAUAUACACCUUUGUUCUUUGACUUUCCUUCUCAGCUUUGAAAUUUGAAGUUUUCAGCAGUAAAGAUGUAAUAUAGAAUGAGACUUGUUGAAGGGUUUAUAGCUUCUACACUACAACCUACCCUCUUCUUUCUCUCACCUUAUUUCUCUUCUUCAAAAUACAUCAACUUAUUUUUAUAAUCACACAUUUUCCAGCUGCUUCAAAGUUAAGUUUAGAUUAUAAUAUUCAUAUUUUCCUAACCUCAGUUCUUUGAAAUGAAAAAGGUAUUUAUUAUUAUAUUACAGUAAUGUAUUCUUUCAGAAGGAAUGUUUUUUAUAUUUAAAUUAUUAAAAUAAGUAAAUAAUAUAUUAUAUAGUUUUGGAAACAUGGAUGUGUCUUUUUUGGACUGUACAUCCUUUUCCCAUUAGAGAAGUAAUUUAUGAUGAUUGGACAUGAGAAUGAGAUAGGAAUAAUAAUGGGGAAGUAUGCACAAAUUGUUUACCUUCAAGAUUUUUGCAUCAUUUUAGCUUUUCACGUUUCCACCAAAUCUUACAAAAACCUACCAACCAAACAACUAUCUCUGACCAAAUUAUAUUAAGUUCUUUUUCUUGUAUUCAUAUGUAUACUAUACUACAUACGUACCUUAAUCGGGUUUCCGUUAAGAAAAUCGUUCUAUUAUUCUUUACCUUUUUAUUUUAAUAAUUCCAACUACUGUUAAAGUCAAACACAAACCAGCUUAACUCGCGUAUCUCACUUUUACCUAUAGUAGUAUGUCAGAAAAAGUAGGUAUCAAUCAUAUUAAAAAGUCAGGCAACUACGUAAAUUCAUUAUUAUUUUUUUCUUUAUUGAAAAGCUGAUGCCGGUUUAUACUAGAAUACUACUCUACUUUUUAAUUAAACAAAACUUUAUUAGAUAUUUUUAUAAUAUAUGUAAAUGAUUAAAUUUUGAUUUUGAUUCGUUAUUUUUUCCUUUUUAUUUCCUUAAAAAUCUGUAAUUUCUAAUAUUGUAUGAUGCUAUUUAUUAAAUUAUGCAUUAAAAUAAAAGUCAAAUCAUCAUUUCAAGUAAUACAUAAAAGUAUCGUGAUGUAUAAUCGACCUAUAAUAUUUCAAAAACAAAAUAAAAGUUGUGAAAAUAAAUGCAGUAAUUUAAUAAAUAAAAUCGACAUAUAAUACUCAACAUCUCUAAAAGCAGUAAUAAGAUGAGUAUUAAUAAUUAAUAGUAAUGUAAUAUUUUAGAAGGAUGAAAAUAAAAAAUAUUUAUAAGUAAAUAAAAUUAAAAUUGACAUAUUUUAUAAGAAUUAGAAAUAGUGAUUUGAAACUUCAUAAAAUCAAGAAACAAAGAAAAAAGUUGCGAGGACCAAAAUAAAAAACUGAACACCCAUUUAAGAUGAAACAGUUCUGAUUAGUUUUUUUUUUGUUUUUGUUUUUUUUUGUUUUAGAUAAACAGUUUUAAAAAUUACCAAAAUCUGUAGAUUUUGAAUAAAUCAUGGAAUACAAACAUUAGGAAUAUUUGAUGAUAAUACUAGCAAAUUUUAUAUUAGAAAGUGGUUGGUUAUUAAUUAAACGUUUUCUCAAUGUUGUGAAUAACAGAGUGACUUUUCAGUUAAAAAGUCUUAUAUGAGUUAGUUAAACCAUAAGAAGUGAGACGCAUGCGUAUUUCAAAAGUCAACAAUCUCUCAAUCAGCAAUUCUUUCAAGCAAAAAACUAAUAAGCAAAUUCGUAUAUUUUACCACCAACAGUUAAACAGCCACUCUUAGAAGAAUGAAUUGGUUUGGAUCAAACUUCUCCGCUUCACGCUGCUUCCAACCUGAUAAACACCACUAUUCAAUAGCAAAUUAUAGAAAGAAAAAUAUAGUUUGCCACCCUUUUUUAAUAAUAAAAUAAACUAAACUAAACUAUUCAAUAAAAAAUUAAAUAAAAUUAUUCCAUAAAAGUUUAAUAUAAACAGUCAUAAGUGGUUACAGAUCAUAUAAAAAAUAAUAAGACUGUUCACAGAUCAUAACCCUUUUCUUCUUCUCUUACCAUUACAUCACGUCACGUGACAUCUAUUACAUACUCUUUUUCUCUCUUUACCUUUUCCUUUUCAUCCUCGAGACUCUUCCUUCCAUCUCAAUCCAAUCCGAAAGAACGGUGGCAAGAAAACUACUCUUCCGAGAGGAGUCUGGGAUUUAGUGUUUUUACCCAGUGGUUGCCUUCAAGUUACGUGUAACAGCAAAAAGUAUGGUACCCAAUCCCCCAUAUGCCUUUACUUGCAGAAAGUGCCUUUUUAAGGAGACUGAGAUACAGUCUUUCAAUUUCAGCGUGACACCCUGUCCAUAUCCGAAGAUAACCCAAAUCUGUUAAAAACUAUUGAUGAUUAAUACAUAAAAAUGAUAUUUCUGUACUGGACACCUGUACAGCAGUCUGAUCCUUCAACAUUUACACAUCUAUCAAAACUCACUAAUAUUUUCAAUUUCAUGUUCAGUGACAGCAGGUCAUAAAUCCCAAGUUAUAUUGGAGAGGGAUAACUGCACAAUUUCAAUCAUAAUUGUAAAAGAUGAGUGCAUCCAUAGAAUACUGUACCAGAAAAACUCCAGCUACAUGAAUUAUCUCUGCCUCCUCCUACACAUGUUUAUUAGGCAGACUAAAGAUUAACAAACCUAUAUACCACACCAAACCAAAUUACGUACACAUAUUGUUGUAAAAAAAUUACCUCUUUUUGCUAGUAGCAAUUUAUACAAGCAGCUUCUGUAUUGAUUUAAUCAGACGGUUCUCCAAAAUGACUAAAUCUACCCUUUCCAGCUGCCACUGCAACAAUAAUUUCUAAUUCAACAGUUAUGAAAGUGUUGUCCAGCCACAAGAAAAACCUCAAUUCUGCUAUUGUAAGAGUUGGGAAGAGGAAAGGAGAAUGCAUUACAAAGAAUUAUGAUUUUCAUGAUGCUAGAUAGAAUAAAUCUAAUGAUAAAUAUCAGGAGCAUCAGCAAGCAAAUAAGGAUAAACUAAAAAAGAAAGUAAAAGGUCUGGUCAUUAAAACCAGUAAAACUAACAACUUAGGAUAGCUGGACAUUCAAAUCAAGUAAAAUCUAAGCAGUUGUAACGUACAGCUCUAACUUCGUGAGUGUUUUUCAAAAAUAAGUCCUAUAUUGACCAGAGAUAGUGCGAUGAUAAUGUAUAUAAAUAAGGGGAAAACAUCAUCCUAUGGGCUAGCUUUUUGGGUUUGAGUUAAAACUUAAAAUUUAAAUUCUAUCAUGUCAGGUCAUAUCCUAAAUCUGUUAUUGGGUGACCCAUCUUAUAUUAUCCGUGCACCAAACUAAUAAUGCUUGGUGAGAUUGAAUAUAUUAGGGGAAAACCUAGUCCCACAUUGAUUAGAGAUGGUACCCAGAUAAGGUACAUAACUAUGAAACAAACAACCCUCACCAUGAUUAGAUUAUGGGGUUAAGUUCAAACUUAAAUUUUAAGACCAUAUACGAGAACUCUCUGGGAAGACAACACACUAGUUUUUUUGCCUACACUUCUUCUGAGUUUGACAGAAGCAACCAUUCAUUUUACAAAAGAAAUGAUUAAAGAGAAAAGUUAACAUACUGCAAAUGGAAAUACAUGUUGCUUAUAAAUACAAAAAAUGGUGUGCAAAUUAUUGUGCUGUUGUGCAAUGCGAAUAAUUCCCUAUACAUACAAUGGUCUACAUGGAUCACAUGAUGACCUCAUUCAGCAGUGUUAAACACAGGCAUAAACUUAUAAAUAUCUCUAGAAACAGAAUAACAAACAAAUGUGGUGAUGCCAACAGUUUUUAUUUAACUAAGUAAUAAAUUAAAUAUACAUUGCAUCUAUAUUAUGAUCAGUAACCAAGACCGGAGAUAGUAUACAAGACAAGACAAGGGAUUAAAAUAAUAAAUAAACAGCAAAGGAGAUUUACAAGCCAUAUUGCACAGUCACAGACAUAUAAUAAAUGUCUAAUUACUUAUGUUAAUGAAAAGUUCGAUAUUUGAAGUUCAACAUCACAAAAAGGUCCCAUAAAAUCAAUGGAUGACAAAACAACAAUUCAUACAUGUUGAAUAGAUAGUAAAAGGCAGGCAAUGGAACAUAAAAUUUCAAAUUUAUCAACUAGUUUAAUGUUUGAUUAAAUGACUAGAAAUGCAAGAUUCAUUAAGAUAAGCCCAUACGCUGAAGAAAAUGUUUAGGUAUCACAUUAAAGUUGGACAUACUCUGCAGCACAUCAGCCGUGAAUAACAGCUUUUAAAUUGAAUCUGACCAAAUAUACCGAUUUUGCUCAAGUUUGCCAUAGCAAGAAAAGAACUUUAUAAGUUUCUACUAUGAGGGUAAAAGUAAAGUCCCUCCAUAAUUGUCAUCAACUGCGGCCUACAAAAUUUGAACCAGAGUACUGUAUUAACAGAAAAAAAAGAAGCAUACCAUGUGUUUUAACUACACAAACUCCUUAUUAAUAUAAAAUGGCAUAAUAAACCACGUGUUUCAACCCAUUUAUAAAACUCUGUUUCUACGCACAACUCUUUGGCACAUAACAUAAUUUGGAAUAAGAUUAGACAUUUGGUGUAAAGCACAUGACCAAUUCCUAACAAAUAUUUUGUGGAAUUAGGUUCAUUCACAUGAUUUUCUUUCUCUUGAUUCAUUUCUAUCUUUGUAGUGUUAUUUAGGAGUUUAUCGUUCUCUUUGUAAUGUUUUAUGUUCAAUUGACCAGCCAAAUAAAUUUCAUUAUUUUAUAAAGAAACACACCACUUUUUUAACUUGGAAAUUGCAAUUUCAGUAUUUAAAAGAUACUAACCAGGACUAACAAAUACUAGGUCCCACAAAUUAUGUUUUGUUAAGUACGAAAAUGUUGUUUGAUUGAUAAACAACAGAUGAUGGUAAAAGAGAAAGUAGGCUGAAGGAAUACCUGAAGGUAAGGAUAUACAGUAUCAUAUACUUGUAGGAAAAAUUGGGACUUGGCCGCAAACCUGAAAACAAAACAUGUUUUAAUCCACAGACUGUCACAAAAAUAAUCUAUAAAAUCUAGUAAGUAAAAUUACUUUGAAAUAUUACCACAGCUUUCACAUUUUUUUUAAUAGUUAUACUUGAAAAGGGUUAGAUAUAUGAGGGAAAGAGAUCUUUAUUGAAUUGAUUGAAUUUAAAAACAGUACAUGGGCAUACAGUGAACUCUACCCCUCCUAGAGUAAUGAUAACAAAGAUCUCUAAUACAUUGCAGUACCAUACUCAUAACGAUUACAGUAUCGUCUAGUAACAAAAUAUUUUCUCCUAGCUCAAUAAGAAUGUAAUUGUCGUUAAUCAAAUUCAAAAUAUAACAGAACUCUCAGGAAUUUACCAAAACUCCAAUUUCACUUGACUUCACAGGAUAAGUGGAAUUUACCAAAAGAUGGGUUGACGGUACAGACACAAAAUUAAUUAACUAGCCUUUUUUAAUCCAUUCCAGCCUCUAUUUUUAGUUUAACAAAAUCUCCAUCAAAAGUGACGGAAUAAAUCUAACAAACAAAUUGAAUAAAAAGAUGUGGGAAGAAUAAGGAUAAAAGCACGUGAUUAUGUACGAAAACAAUAAUAAACAGAAGGGUGCCAUGCUAACUUCCAACAUUAACAUACCUUUUCAGAAGUCGGAAACAUAUAUAAAUCUCUUCAAUAUCUCUUUCAAUCUUCACUUUGAUAUACUGCCUCAGUAGCUCACACAUAAUGUCAACAGUUUCAUCAGAAAACUGCUGGGCCAGAUUUAGCUCAUAGAAUUCAGAUAUAAUUUGGUGCAAAACUGAAGACAAUGUGUUUGCCAACCCUGAUCUUAAAUACAUUUCUGCAAGUUUCUUUAAAAUUAAGCAACUGCCACCUUUGAACUUCUCAACCCAAUUUGGAGGAUUUCCAACCCAUAGACUGUCAUUAUUAUAACUACAUAUAGGAGAAUUAUCAGAAACUUCAACGCCUACUGACAACGAAUGGUUUUCAAGAGGUGGAAUCACAACAUUGGAGCAAAUAUCUGGCCUCCUGUGUGCAGGAAGCUGCUCAACAAUGUCAGCUUUAAAAUCCUCAGGCAAUUGUUGAAACACUGAACCAUCAACUUGACUCAAAGAAGAAGGAAACAAAUCAUUGUUUUCAAAACUAGAAUGGUGUGUAAACUUGAAAUUGGGUCCACGGACUGAAUAUGGUAUAGUUUCGCCUUCACUAUUGCUCGACACAUAUUGCUUUGCCUAUUAGUAAACAUGACAUAUGUUACCAAAUAAAACACUUAGAAAAACAGAGCAAUAGAUACAAAUAAAAGUGUUAAUGUUUCUUUCAGUUUAAUGACUAAUUGCAUACAAACUGCAAAAACCAUCAAAAUAAAGGUAUAAAGAAGGAAGACUGAUCAAUUCAACCAUAUAAUUUGAUUAGCUGUACAUGAAGUGGAAAACAUACAGAUUUAGGUAGGGAAGAAGAAAAUGAGAGAAUAUGAAUAAUAAAUAAUAUCUCUUGUGUAUUACAAUUUACAAUGUGAUACAAGAUUCAAAACUCUAACCCUAUUUAUGCUAUCAGUUAAAAACCUUUAUCGAAAUCAAAUAAGAAAAAAAAUUGUAACAAAAUAUGAAUCCAAUUCUAAGAUAUUAUCCAAAGGUGAGAUAAGACAUAAUAAAAUAGGGAAAAUUCUUUACCUUGUUUUUUGAUAAUAAAUUGCCUUGAGGAAUCGGUUCAGAAUAGGAAGGUUCCUCUUCGUUGUUUAUCGCUGCCAACAAAAACAAAUUGAAAGCAUGGGUGACAAGUUUGAGUAGAGUAUAUAGCUUGCACUAAUGAAACAGAAAACGCUUACCUUUUUGCUCACAAAAUGAGUUUCCUGAAAGGCUGGAGCUCUCACUUGUGUUUUUCCAGUUAGCAAUAUAAUCAACUAACUUCCCUCUGUAAAUUUCAUUUAAUUCUGAAAAUACAUCCGGGGGAAGAUUCCUUAUAACUUCAAUGUCAAGGUUACAUAAGGGGGGCGGUGUUGAAAUUGGGUCAGUACUAGCCUCAUUAGCUGGUAUUUUAUUGUCCAUUUCCACUGAAGACUCUAGCAAAUUUACACAUGCAAGACUGGAAGUGUUAUCCCUGCUGUGCUUGUCAUUACCUAAAGAAAGAGCAACGACAAAUGUUUGUGUAUUAAUUCUAUCAUUCAUAAAACGUCAAAAUGAACAAAAAAAAGUAAAAUUUAUGUGUAAGAAAAAAUAUCCAAACAAUAACAAGUAACCCCUGUGUGACAUUGUCCAUCACCCAUAGAAUAAAACAACAACAACAACAAAAGCCUUAUCCCACUAGAUGAGGAAAUUUAAGCUUAAACAAAUAGGGGGUGCCAUUACCUAUAGGAUAUGUCUGAUUUCCAACACCAGCAGAUGCAGAAGUGAGCCAUGAUUUCAAAGUAUAUUUUGUUGUACCUUUAUGAAAUAGAUAAAACCAUACAAUUAUAUAGAAAUUCAAAUUACAUAAAAUAAGAAAAGAAAAGCUCAAAACGAAGAAAAAAAGUUAAGAGAUUCCACAAUACUAAAUUAUUGAAAGACAGAAAGAUGAAGAACAAUAAGGUUGCAGAUCUCAGCAACAGGCAUUCCAGAUAAAUUUAAUUAUGUGCACAAGCAAAUAAUAUGUUAUUCCAACACAACUCGUUAAGAUUCACUUCAAAAAAUACAGAUACCUCGUUUAGAAGCUUCUGCACUUUCAAGUCUGGAAACUUGCAAGCCAAUACCUCGAAUCUCCUUGACAUCUACAUGAAAUUAAAACAAAAAAGACAAGACGAACAUGAACAUAUGUGGAUUCCCUUACACAAAUCAAGGCUGAAACACUAAAUAACAUGAACAGGAAGAAAAUACCAUCAUAAAAUUAAAUAUGAGGUCCAAAGAAACAAUCACCAACCACCUUCACCAUGCAAGCAUUUAUCUUAGAAUAUGAUACACUGUCUGCGGCCCAGAGCCAUUCACCUAAGUGUCUAACGAACUUUCAGUUUAAACCCAUGACCAAUACUUACUCGGUCAAUCAUCAGCUAUGCACCUAAAAGAAUGACUUUACAUCAGUAUCACAACCCUCUAGGAAAACUAGCACUUUGAACUUGAAUCAUGGGUAAGCACUGGCCAACUAUAACUUUAAAUGGCAUUUUAAUUUAAUUAAGAAUGUAAGUGGAAAUUAUUUUUCCUAGCAACUUGAUAAUAUAAGCUCUCCUAAAAACUUAAAUUAAGAGAAGGAUGCUCAUUGUAUUAGGAUUCCCUUGUCAAUACACAGCUUUUAUAUCAGGAUUCAAGUCAUAAAUCAAGAGAUGAAUGCGACUGAGCAAAAUGGAACCUAGGGGAUUUCCGAAAAGCCAGGACAACCUCUAUAUAUCUGUUGUACAUGCUACUAUGAAUUAACAAAAAUAGAAAAAUAUUGAUAAGCAUCCAAACACUAAGAAACCCACCCUCAAUUAUUUUUUAGUGUUCUUUUCAAGUCAAACCUUGUAACUCCACAUCUAUGGUACAGUAUCUCAUUCUAUAUUUUAUUGACAUAGUAUUGUUCUUUUUUUAACUCUAUUAGGUAGUUGUAGAACAAAUAAGAAUAUUUCAGGAGAGAGCGUUUGACAAAAAAGGAGAUGGGCUGACGAAGUCAAAUGAUCCAUAUUUCUAACCUCACCCAAUCCCCUAAUGAAGUUGGUGUUUCUUCAAUAACUAGUUUUGUUCAAUGAUUUCAAAGAGGCAAGCGGAUCAAAUCCCCCUUUCUCGUUUUUGCCUUAGUACUUGAAAAUUUUUAAGUUGUCAUGACUAAAUUAGCCUUGAAUUGAAUACUUAUAAUGGUUUUGUUUGUCUUUUGUGAGAUUAUAUAAAAAUUAAUUUAUUUUCUCUCGUCUCCCCUCGUUUUAACCGAACAGAGUCUAUAUCAAUUAUUAACAAAAGCAAAUGCAGUAAAUGAUUCACACAUCUAAAUAUAAACCAACAGAUUCCAUACUGCCUAGUUUUACAUUCAUUAAAAUGGCAGAAAACAUGUAUGCUCACAUCAGCUAAUAGAAAAUACUUUUUAUUUUUGAAUGUUUCAUGACAAAACUUUGAAAAGAGAAGAAAAAUAUAUUGAGCCAGAAAUAAGGUUUGCCAAGCCUGGCAUACAUUAAAAGAAUAAGCAGGUAUGAGUUAUGAUACCUAUGUUAAAACAUCCAAACAGCUGCUUUACAAUUCUUUGGAGUAUUUCCACGUUAUCAGUAGCAAGAGGAACCUAUGAUGAGAAAAUCAAACACAAGAAAUUGGACCUUAAAACAAUUAAUAAAACACUUGUAUAAAGAAAAUAUGACAGUUCAAUAUACAGAUUAACACUUGUUAUUUUCAAAUAUUUACCGUUAUAGAGUGACUCAGAUUUUCACAGUCCCCACAGCCCAUAAACUUUGCAGGUUCACCAGCACCUUUCCUUCUCUUUUUGAUCUAAAGCAUAUUUACAAGAAUAUUUACAAAUAAUUUGUAGACUCAAGAUAUAAGAAACAUUAUGAUAGAUAAUAAUACAGAAGUUUCAAAAAUUUAACACGACAUGAAAAGAAGCUUGCCAGCUAGAACAGAAAGCUGAUUUCUGAAUAAUCUAAAAAACAAAACUUAUCAAGCUUAAAGUAAACCAACACCUUCAGAGUGAAUGUGCGCCCCUGCACUCCACAACACUGCAAUCGUAAUGAGACCUCCUUGCAAAGACUUAUUAGAAAGUGUUCACACUGGAAUAACUUUUAUGUCAACAUUUUGAGUGAUUUUUUUAUACAGUAAGGUUUAUAAAUAUAGAAAAAUGAGUGUAAGAAAAUACUAACAUCUUUUAUAUCUUUGAAUCUCACUCCCCAAUUUACAUCAGCACCAACGGUCUUGCUUUCCUGCAGAAAUGUGGAUGUCAUCUUAAACAAGUUUAUCAGGAGAGAAUAAUAAUCACAGGAAGAAAAAGUGAUACAACACAUUUAAGUUAGAAAAUUAAAAGUAAAAUGUGAAACCACCAGCCAGUGGCACAAUUAUUUCACAUAAUGUUUUGGGGCAUAGCAUUAGCACAAUCAAUCAUUUUGAAAUUUACAAUGACCAAUUAUGGUUUUAUUAUUUGUACUAAACUGACAAUUUAUAAACCUCAGCCAUUUUUUACUAUUACACUUGUUAGCCAAUCCCUAGACAAGGACUGGAAUAGAUAAAAAAAAAAGAUAUUGUUACAGAAAAAAAAAUGGUGGUGUAAAAUGGAAGGCAAAAGAAAACAACAUUCAAGUGUGGAUUCAUAUAGAGAAAGAAAGAAAAAGAAAAGCAACACAUGCAUAUAUUAUAGUAUACAACAAAGUGGAACAAUUUAAGAUGGAAGAAAGGAGAAAAGAAGCAACGUGUGCACACUCACACAAGUUACAUACCAUUACAUAACAAAUUGGCACAGUGUAAAAUGAAAGGAAAAAUAAAAGAAUCAACAAGCACAAUGUCGUAGACAAAGGCAUAUACAUCACUCUAUCUUUGCCUCUCUCUCACACGUAUAGUGUACAUACAUACACAUAUCCAAAGUAUACUAAACCAAGUCAAAUCAAAAUGAGAAGAAACAAUGUCUGGAUUUUAGAUAAAUAUUCCCCACCUGAAAGUUCCCAACUAACCGGUUAUCAAUUCCUCUGCUAUAAUUCCACAGCAUUUCUCCUGUUUUUAUACCAUAGUCCCUCUGCAGUGAGGCCUGCAGAUUCAGAGAAAUAAGGGUAUACUACAAUUAUUACAAAUUUUUUUCAAGUACUGGUCAAAAAAGAAGGUGGAACAUGACUACAACAGAGUAUCCAAGUAAAUGAACCAAGUAAAAACAUAACAAAUUUGUGCUAAGGAUUAAAUACUUGAAAAAAAUUGGGACUAGUUCUUUAAGAUUAUUCCCUCAAAUUUAAGCCAAAUUUUAAAUAAGUAAAUAAUAUUUUUUCGCAAGUUUCUUUUCACUUUUAGUAAGGAUUCUAAAUUCAUGAGUCAAACCAUCUCCUUCCCCAACGCAAGGGAAAAGAUAAAUGUCUCAAAGCAGAGGAUGAACACAUUGAAAGACCUUUGGAAGAAAGUCAAGGAACAACAACUUUUAUAAAACAAUAGAAGGAAAAUCAGAAGAACCUAUAAAUUGAGAAAGUGAAUGAAGAGUAAAACCUUGGAAAUAAUGCGUAAUUGUCCACAAGUGUAAAUAUUCUGUUUCUUCAAUUUCUCCUGCAAAACAUGUCCUAUUCCUGGAAGUGAAUUAAUUGGGAGUUGGCAUAAAUGAUCUUCAACCUGGAAAGGCAAAACUGACUAAAUGAACAAGGUAGCACGUUGACACAUUCCACUCGUCAACUAUAAUAUCAAAAUGCAUAAGCUGCACAAAAUAUAAGUAGGAGUGAACUACAACAGCUAAAAUCACACUUGAUGACAUGAUCAGUGUCCCAUUUUUUUUUAAUAAGUUGAUCUUUAAAAUGAUCAAAACCAGACAAUAGAAGUUGAAAAUUGCAAUAUAAAUCACCGUACACAUUUUCUGGGGAAGUGUAAAUUGUCAAUUUUAAUGCAUCCAAAAUACAGGUCAUACCUAAAAUUAGCACCUUUGAGGAAAAUUCAAAGCUUCAAGGUCUAGAGUAGUAGAAUCCACAUCUAGCAUGGCACUACUCUGUAAGUUCUCAUUGAAUUUUAUUUAAAAUACAGAAAAUCCAGUUUCCAAAUCCAAAAUAAAAUAACAAGAGCAACAAUUGGCAUUGAUAUUUGAAUUUGCAAAUAUUCAAAUGUAAGCACAAGUUUACAGCAUAAAACUCAAAAUAACACACUACUAUGGCCCCAAAAAAAAAUAGAAAAUUAAUUAUAAAGAAAGAGGGUGUGGAAAUUGUAAUAUGAUUUGCAUUAUACCUUCAUUAUGCCACAAAUAAAAAUUGAAAAUUAAAAAAACGACAAAAUUAUGAAUAAAAGAAAACCCAAAGGAUACCUUUUCUGUAGUUAUGUAAUAUUGACCAUUUGGUUUUGCAGUUCUAGUAGCAAUACGAGCCAUAAGCAUAUUUCCAGCUAUACCAGCACUAGCUGUGCAUCCGGUGGUCUUAUAGAUCUCUUCUCUAAUAGAUGAAGCUAAAAGUUUGGGAUCUUCAACCUCUAAAUCUGUGACAUCUAAAAAUGCUUCAUCACAGCUUACAGCCUGCAUCAAGUAGCAAUUACAGCAUUAAGGACGACUCAACAGAAAACUUUAUGCACUUGAACAAUGUCAAAUCAUAAGACCUGCACUUUGUUGCAAUGCUGAUGCAAUAUACUAUAAAAUUGAUCAGCUACCUGCAAAAUGUCAAAGACACAUUUGUAAAAUUUCAUAAAAGGAAAAAAGAUACAAAGACAUGAUGACAAAAAAAAAUAUUCUGAAGCUUCCAGUUACAGACACCCUACUGAUUCUUACUUCCUCAUAAGCUUCAAAGUUGUAAGGAAAGAUAACAAGUUGGGGACAAAGAGCCUUGGCAUCUCGAACAAACAUACCAGCUCUAAUACCUAGCACAUGAGCAAAAAAAUAAGUUGCAUACAAAAAAGUUAUAACAUAGCUUACUGAGCCAUGCUAUGAUAUAUAACUUGGCACAUAACCAACCAUGACUACGAGCUGGGUAGUUAGCAGAAGAAAUCUCAGCAGUUCCAUUUGAGUUAUUUGAAUGAGACACAGCUACAGGCUGAUCCAACAAUUCAGGGUGGUUCCGAAUAACAACUGAAACAAAAAAACAGUCCUGGGACAGCAUAUGGGUAUAGAGUUAAAUGGCAUACCUAACCAAAAUCUGAAAAGGAAAAUUAGUUGACAGCAAUAAUUUUUUUGAACAGCCUUGUAUUUAAAUCUUACCAUGUCAACAUGGAUAAUAACUGAAUUUGAAGAAGUAUUAGAGGCACUAAUAUUAGAAUUUUCAUUCUUAAACCCAGAAGACAAUGCAGAAAAACGCUUUCGAUACCGAUUUCGCCAGGUUCCUAUAAAGUGUAGUCGUGAGCUCUGCAUAAAGCAAACUAUAGUCACGAUAUUGCAAUAACUAACCAUAUGAUUACAUGACACAAUAAGUUACACGACAUAUAUCGGUUUACAUACUUAUAAGAAGGUAAUACCCCUGUCCCAUGUGAUCAGUUGCUUGUUUUUCUAUCUUUGUUUACUUUUUUUACAGAUACAGCAAACACAAAAUAUAAUGCACAGGAGUAUUCACUUCAUCCACCUUAUCUAUAGAAGUUCAAGUGAUGAUAUGUUUAGAUGCAAGAAACAAUUAUCAUUGACUUGAAUGUUUAAUUUCCAGUAUAUUUGGCAAAAUAGUACCAAAAAAUUUAGAUUACUGCAAUAACAGCCACAUUAAAAGAAAAUAAAGUGGGGCCAUCAACAAGAAAGUCACCAUUUCACGCACCAAGCAAUAUGAAAAUUCAAAAUUCUUGUAUGUUUAAACUUCACUACCUUAAAAUAAUUUUCCACGAAAUUGGGGUCUGCAAAAGUUGAAUGACACUGUUUAAAAGGCUUAGUGCCUGAAGAACUUGGAAAUUCUCGUGCAUUCUGCUCAUCUGAGCAGUGAGAACUAAAUGAUGUAGAAGGUGCUUGAUGAGUGGGUCCAAGUUCACUUUUGACAUUGCUCUCAUCUUUCGCAGCAGCAUUGCUUCUAGCUGCUUGCUCUUCAUCAAACUUAACUCUUACACUAGUUGGCUCCUCAGUGAUAAUUGCAUUACUAUUCUCAAUAUCACCAGAUGUGGUACUGAUUUGUCCAAUAUGUUCACUCAUUUCCCCAACUUUGGAUAAGUUUCUAUCAUCAGAAUCUGUUUGACCAACCCUCAUAGAUGAAUCUUCAACAUCUGAUACUACUUGACAUAGGGAAUUUGUUAAAGCAUCCUCCGACAUUUUACUACUUUUCAUUGUGAAGAAGGCUGACAGCUUUGAUUGUUUAUUAGCUAGUUGGUCCAGCUGGUAAGGUACCCCUAUCAAAGAAAAAUUUAAAUCACAUGACAUACAACUGUUUGGAAAACCGGAUAUAAUAUUAUCGCGUAUUGAUAUAGUCAGGAGAAAAUAAAUUAAAUGAUAAUUAAAUAAAAGGCAGGAUCAGAUAUUAAAACAUGUAGGAGUUAUUGCUCCCAUGGUCCUUCUUUUCCUCUCAUAAUACAAAGAAUGAAAUGUGAUGCAAGAAAAUGAAACUAAUACAACUGGAAGAGAAAUGAAAAAACUUACAGCUCAGAAGUCUAUUAGCAGCAACAGAAUCUAAAAUCCAAGUGGGUUUUACUACUGGCAACCCUGCACUGAAGGCUCUGUAUUGAAGUAUCCAAUGAUUAAAUUAAAUUAAUUCAAAAGAGAAGGACUCAAAACCUAAAAUUUAAAGAAGGUCAUGAAAUCAAACCUGAGGUUCUUAACUUUACUAUCAGGCAGAUUACUGCAUAUAAUAUGUGUUACACGGUGUCUAGAGAAAUAAUUCUCGAAUCUUCCUCCAUUCUUAAGCAUGUAGCUCCGCAGUUCCUGAAACACGUUUGUAACUUGAGUAGUCCCUUUGGAAUUUUACAAUAAAAUCUGACUGAAAAUUACAAUUUCUUGACACAAUUGAUCCCUAAGCCAAGAAACAGUAACUUCGUAUAAUUGUGAUACUUUCCUGCCAUUCACACAUUCAAGAAUCGGGAAGAGAUACACAGAAUCAACAAAAUGAUAAAUGAAAAACAAAAUAACCUGGCUGGAAGGAACUGUGAAACCAUCAACAAAAAUUGAAACUCCACUGAAAAUAGGCUUCGCUACAGUAGAGUCACUUAAAGAAGACGCGGAAGCCUCGGCGUCAAAUUGGUUGUGUAGUUUCCUAUUCUUCUCUGUCAUAUAACUGCAUUUACUCCAGAGUUAAUUAACAAAUUGAGGUUGAAGACCAAAUACGAAAUUGAAAUCCUAAAAUUAGAUAACAUAGGAAUUGAUAAUAAUAUUGAAAAGAAAGUAAAACAAAAACCUGGCAAAACCGGAGAAGGCGGAAUUUCUUGAAGAAGCGCGAGAACUCGAAUUUGAGCCCCAGACAGCGCCUAGGGUUUUCUGGUUGGUGAUUGUCUUCUUUCUUUUACUGUUCUUUUUAGAGCUAUCGUUGGAGCGGUUGGAAGAUAUAGAAUUAGAGAAACUUCGUUUAGAAUUAGCUGAUCGAGACGAGUCUAAACUCAUUCUGACACAGAGAGUGUCGAUGAAAUGAAAGGAGAAAGGAGAGUUACUCAGCGAGGUGGUUGCCGCUUCCCCUAUUUUUCGAAAGGGGCAUUGUUGUUUGUAGGAGAAGCAACCAAUAAAUAAAUAAAUUUUAAUUUUUCUUAUAAAUAUAUUAACGAGUUUUAUUCUUAAAACCUUCUUUAUUUGAAUUAAUUAUAAUUUUAUCCACGUAUAUCAAAUUCGGUUAUUUAAAUUUUGUCAAUUGCAAAAUUUAACAUACCUUCCACUCGAAAACUAUUGAUCAAAGGGUUUGAUAAGUGUUUAUUAGAAACAUUACUGCACAAAACAGUUGAGGUUUCAAAUUAGCUGAUAUUUUGACAAAACAUUUGAAAAAAAAUAAUUUCAGAUUUUUCUAUUUCAAAGAAGAAGCUAAAAUGAAGCAUGAGAAAAAAAUUAAAGAAAAGGAAUUUUACAAGACUGAGAUUUUAAAAAGAUGUUUACCAAAUUCUUGAGAAAUCUUGUCAUUUGGAUUAGUUUCGUAGAGCUUCCUGUAAUGAAGAUUUUCAUAAUCAAAUGAGACUUUUUGGAAAAAAGAUAAAAAAAUAAAAGAAAAUCAGUACUUAUGUUUUUCAUGCUCAAAGUUCCAGUGAAAUUAUAACUGGUCAAAUUUCUAAAAUUGAAAAACACAGAAAAAGUGAUUAUGAUUGAAGUGAUGAAGAAAACAAAAGAGAAAAAUGUUUAGAAAGAAGAGACAUGUUAGAGUUAAAGAACAUCGUCAUUGGAAUCGCAGGUGACAUGAAGAGCCUUUCCUACGAUUUUUAAAUAACCUCACAUCAAACCCAGUUUAUGGUAAAAACAAAAAGAGUUUAAGCAGAGAAUCAAAUUACCUUCAGAGUUUAAAAGAAAAGAGAAAGGAUAUACGAGAAAGAGCCGUAACACACAGAAUAACUGCAACCUAGAGAGAUCUUCAAUCGUGACAAGAGACAAUAGACACCAGCUUUAAAUAAGAAAAAUUAUGUGACCACUCUUAUUUGUCCAUAUAAUUAAAUAACGAACUAUUAAUUGUUUUGUUAAGUGAAUUUAUAAUUAAUAAUUGUUAAUUGAACUUAUAAUUAAUAUUUGUUGACUGAAUUUUUUUCUUUUUAUUUGACAGUAUGUUUCCUUAGUGUUAAAUAUACAUUACUUGUUAAAACCUACUGAGUCUAGUUAAUGAAUUAGUUAAUGACUAUUUGUUAACUGAAUUUAUAAUUAAUAAUUGUUAACUGAUAUUAUAUAAUUAAUAACUUUAACUGAAUUUUUGUCUUUUUAUUUGAGAGUAUGUUUCCUUAGUUUUAAAUAUAUACUACUUGUUAAAACCUACCAAGUUAAUGAAUUAGUUUGACUAUUUAUUUCUUCUUCCAUCCCAUGGUUUCCUUCUAUACUUCCAAGGGAAUAUUAAAAAACAAAAUUUUUCAUGUUUUACACUUUUUUUUUAUUGCAAACUUCAUAAAUAUAUUUUAUAUUAUAUAAUCUGAAAUAUAUUUUUUAUCCAUUUAUAUAUUUGUGAAUAUAUUAUUAAUCACUUCAUACCUAAAAAUAUGUUACAAGACUGUAGAAUGUAUAAUCAUAAAAUAUAUAUCGAAUUGUGAUUAUAUAAUGAAAAAUAUAUUUUUAAAUUAUGCGAUAUGAAAACAUAUUUUGAAUCUGAAAUAUAUUAAUGAAUUACACAAUUAAAGGAUAUAUUUUUCACUGCAUAACAAAGAAAAUGCAUCAAUGGGUCAUACAAUUCAAGAACAUAUUAUAAAUUAAUGUAUUUUUAAAUUGUUUAAUUCAUAGUUAAUUGCGUAAUAAAAAAGUUUUGCGUGUAAGAUGAAAUCUUCUCUUUUAAGGGUCGGAGUGAUCAUUCUUUAAUUCAGUAACAUUUAUUGCAAUACUUCUUGAACGUCCUUCAAUGUAAAGUUAUUUUUAUUCAGAUUGUAAAGACAUAAUUUAUAAACAUAAUAUAUAUAUAUAUAUAUAUAUAUAUAUAUAAAACUUAUUUUUUAGCUAUUUAUAAACAAUUUUUUUUAUUAUGGUUGAUUUAAUUACUAUUUAAAUAUAAUCAAUCAUGAUUUAAUUUUUAAGUAAGAUAAUUUUGGUAUUAUUUUUUUUAAUUUAAUUCGAUUUUUACAGUAUUUCGAUAGAUUCUCUUUAUAAAGGGUUAAUUGUUUGAUUAAUAAUUAACCGGAUGAAUAUACUAUAAAAAAAAGUAAAAAUUUUGAAUUAUGUAAUUUAUAAUAUAUUUUUCAAUUUCAAACUGUAUUUCACAAUGCAAUCCAAAAUUUCCCCAAUGCAUGAGCAAUUUGAACUUUUCCCGCACUUCAGAAAUUAGGAAAGAAAUUUUGGAGCUAAAAGAAAUCACCAAUACUGGAACAAUUCUAACAACGAAUUCAAAGAAGAAAGUAAAGAAAAUAAAUCACUACAAAAUAUUCAUUAAUACUUACAUUUUUCUAGUCCCAAAUAAUCAUAGCAAGCUAAAACAUAAAUUGAAAUUCAUUUGUGAUGGAAUGAUAAAAAGAAAGAAAAAUAUAUAAUACAUUAUUUAACAUUUGUUUCCCUCUUAGAACAUCUCCCUCGUGAAGUUUGCGUUAAAAUCUUUCAAUAAAAUAUCUUGAUGUGUCGCAUCAUAGUUUUUAAAAUUAAAAAUUUGGUGUUGGAAUAAAAGUCAAUGUUUUCAGUAUUUUUAUUAAAGUUAUAAGAAUUUGAAACAGGCAUAAAAAAGUUAUAAGAGUGUAUGAGUUAUUAAAAGUUUCAUCAUUAUUCAAUCAAAACUUGUAAAAAAUAUAAUACGGUCUCAUUAAAAGUAAUGUGAUAUGAUAAAAUUCAUUCAAAAUAAAAUAAAAUCAUCUUACUCUCUGAUCUAUAUACCACAAUUUUUGAAAAGACAAAAAAAUGCAUACGUGAAUUGAAGACUAGAGAAAAACAAACCAAUAAUGAUAAAUUAAUAAAUUUUAAGUGUAAUUUAACUUUACAAAGAAUAAUUGGAGCUGUUUCAUUUGAAUUACAUAUAGUUAGUCUAUAUUUAGUCAAUUAUCAUCUAAAUGUUGAUAUCUCUCCAAUAAAAGGUGUUUAUAAUCCAAAAAUGAAAUAACUUAAAAUAUCAUUAAAGGAAAAAAAGUCAUUUUUGAAUUUAGAAAAAAAAAGUUAGUAUGGAGAUGAAAAUGAAAUAUAAGGAAAGAAGUAAUAGAAUGAUUUUUUCUUUUUAAUAAAAGUUGAAGGAAGGUUAUGUAUGGAAAAGGAUAACAUCUAUAUUUGAUUAGAGAUACUUAAAUACAAAAUAUAAACUUUAUGUGAAAAAAAUUGUCGAUCAAAAAAAAGGAUAACAUCUAUAUAUUUAGUUAUUAAUACUUAACUUGAGGAUAAUUUUGAAAAAGAAAAAGGAUUGUUUGGUGAUAAAGUUGGAAAAAAAUGAAAAAGAUAAUGAAUUCAACUCACAAUACAUAAUAUUAAUAACUAAUUUUGUCGAUCAAAAAAUAAUCGAAUAAUAAAAAAAAUAUUAAAAAGGAAGAAAAGUAUUAAAAACUAACUUGUUUGAUUCUUAAAAGUUAGAAUGGCAGCUUGAUUCAUUAGAGUGAGAAUGAAUAAAAUCUAAGCGCGUAAAACUCAUAACAUUCUUGUGUUUAGAGAAUUCAUGUUUGAAAGGAAAACAAAACUGAACUGUAAAUCGUGAUUAUUUUAGAGGGCAGAAAGGUAAUAGCGUGUUUUGCCCAUGGGACUUUGAGUGAGAAAUAAAAACAAACACUUGGGUGGCAUUGCAUGGAAACAUCAACUGCAGCAUAACCCUUUUAGCUUAUCCGCAACAGAUUUAUCAAUGGAAUACUGCCAUGGAAAUGAGUAGAGAAAAUUAGAUGCAGAAUCAAUGAAAACAGUAUAUAUAUUGCAGGAAAAGGGAAUAAAGGAACCUUGUGAAGAACCCAGAGAGAGUGAUCGUAGGUGCGUUGAAAGAGGUGAGAGACUUCAGAAGGAUCGAUUUCACGGUAAUUGACAAAGUUCUCGCGGGCAUACUUGGCGUAGUAAGCCCUGGUGUCCUUUGGCAAGAGCCUCACCAGCCUCAGAACCUCUGCGUACGCUCUCAAAGCUUUCUCCAUCUUUUCACUCCUUUUCAACUACUCAGCUAAUGUCUUAUCUUAUUGUAUAAAUACUUUUCACUUUAUUAUAAAAUUAAUUGUAAAUGUAAGACGCAGAACAAUACCUAUAUAUAGGAAAUGGAAUUGCAUUUAUGUCUUUCUCUCACACACCGUUCUACUUUGCUUACUUUAUCGGUGACUCUGGGUGGGAGUAACAGUUGAAGGGUGGCUGCGAUGGAAGCGGAAGCGCGUAGAAGUUCGGACUUGAAGAUUAGGUUCGGAGAAGAAGGUGGGAAGCACUGGACUGAUGCGCUUCCCAUUGGCAAUGGACGCCUCGGAGCCAUGAUCUGCGGCCGCCUCCAUUCCGAAACCAUCCACCUCAACGGUAGUCUUCAUCUUCAUCCUCAUCUUCACCGAUUGCCAUUCAGACUGCACAAUCAAUGCAUGUUUGUAUGCUUUAUUGUUUUGCUUCAGAGGACACGCUCUGGACCGGAACACCCGCGGACUACACUAAUUCUAAAGCUCCACAANCCCUUUCUCUGGUUAGAAACCUCGUUAACCGUCAACAAUAUCCACAAGCCACUGCUGCUGCUUCUGCCUUAACAGGAUCAAAUCCAUCCGAGGUAUGUAACACCCUUUUCUUUCCCAUUUCCCUUUCAGAUUCGCCCCUCAUUCUCGUGUGAAUUAUGAUGCCCAGGCCUACCAACUUCUCGCCGAUAUCAAAUUGGACUUCGAUUAUUCACAUCUCACCGGCGCUCAACAAACUUACCAGAGGGAGCUGGACUUGGAUACUGCUACUGUCAAGGUCAGCUAUUCCGUUGGAGAUGUUCAGUUCAAAAGGGAGCAUUUUGCCUCCUAUCCAGAUCAAGUCAUUGUCACUAACAUUUCCGCCACCCAAAAGGCCAGACUUUCAUUCACACUUUCUCUGGACAGCAAAAUGAUUAAUCAAACCUACGUAAAUGGCACCAAUCAGAUUAUAAUGAAGGGAGCGUGUCGUGGUAAAAGGUUCCCACCUCAACUCCAACACAGCGCACAAGAUACUCCGCAGGGAAUUCAAUUCUCGGCAAUUCUUGACUUGAAGAUUGGUGGUGCAAAUGGCGUCAUCAGUGUUUUGGAUGACAACAAGUUGAAGGUUGAGGCUUCAGAUUGGGCUGUUUUACUUCUGGUUGCUUCCUCCUCCUUCAGUGGCCCGUUCACAUCACCUUCAGAUUCUAAGAGGGAUCCUACUUCUGAGUGUUUCAGUGUAUUGAGCUCAAUAAGCAAUGUAUCAAAUUCUGACCUCUAUGCACGCCAUUUAAAUGACUAUCAAGAACUUUUUCACCGGGUAUCGCUGAAGCUUAUGAGAAGCACCCAGCCGAAUAUGCCAGAAGACAGCUCUUUGGAAUUGAAGACGCUUGCGCCAACGGUAGCUAGUCUGUCUCUAGUGGACAGUCAAACUCAAGUUUCAACCUCUGACAGGGUGAAAUCAUUUCAGACGGACGAAGAUCCAUCGUUGGUGGAACUUCUAUUUCAAUAUGGUCGGUAUUUGCUUAUUUCUUCUUCGCGCCCUGGAACUCAGGUGGCAAACCUACAGGGAAUUUGGAACAAAGAUCUUGAGCCUAUUUGGGAGUACGUUCACAUUCUGUUUAAUUUCAAUGGAUAUGGUUUUAAACAAGGCUUACUAUCUGUCAUUAGAUGUCUGGAUUAAUCGGGUUUCUAUUUUCACAUUCUUUUUAUUUACCACAGACAUUUAGUUCCCUAUUCACUUGCAAGGAAGCCUUGUAUUAAUUUUUUUAAUCUGAGACUAAUAAUGGUUACUUUUCCUAGUGGAGCUCCCCACUUGAACAUCAAUCUUGAAAUGAACUAUUGGCAUGCUCUUCCUUGCAAUCUUAGCGAGUGUCAAGAACCCUUGUUUGAUUAUAUUUCCUCUCUGUCUGUGAAUGGCAGUAAAACAGCAUAUGUAAGUAUUUGUAUUCUCUUUACCUAUUUUUGUUGAAGGCCAUCUUAACUAAGCAUGAUGUUGACUUGUAUAUAGCUUAAUUUUAAAAUUCAGCAGCUAGUAUUUUUAUUAAACAUGUGUACAAGUGUAGAUCACGACGUAAAAUUGGACCCAUAGUAAUGCUCUCAGGCUAUGCUGAUUGAAAUACCUUACCACUUAGAUUGACAAGACUGAACAACAUAGAAGCAUUUCUAAGUCUAUUUAAGCCAUUAUAAGCUUUAGCAUCAAACAUUUCCAAUAUAGAACCAAGAAUGUAAUUCCUAGAAAGCCAUUACCAAACAUGUACCAAAUUCAUUUCCAAUGAUAUAAGUCUCAAUUUUAUAUAUAUGUUUCAUAAUUUAAUGACAUCGAACCAAAAUAAAACUAUUUGCUUAUUUUAAAUUUUACAAAUAUAAUCAUAUUAUUCAACAAAAAUCCUUUACACAAUAAUUUUUCAGUGAUUAAAAUAUAAAAGGUAAUAUAAAGGUUUGUUUCCAUGAACAAUGAAUAUUAGACAAUGAUAUCAUAACAAAAUAACUGAAAUAGUAAUCAUAUGUUAAAACAUAGUUACAACAAUUGCAAGGGAGGUAGUAGCCCUAACACAAAUUUAUGGAGAAAGUAAAACAAGUACGUGAAAAAAAUGAAGCAGAGAAUUCUCAAAUUAAUUCUAGAAAAGCUAAACGGGUAAUCAUUUUGACUAAUAAUGAUCUUGAAGAUACUGAAAGUACUGCAAAAUUGAAUUGACUUUAAGAUAUUAUUCCCGACAGUAGGAUAUUUUGGAGAGACAUAAUCUAAGGAUCUAUUCAUGCUCAAAGACGUAAAAGAAUUACCUGGAAAUUUUAAGGCUUUAGAAGUAUGUUUUAAGAUAAAAUGCUUAAAUUUAUAUCAAGAGCUAAAAUGCACCUUGAAUACGAAAAAAAAAAUAAAAAAAAUGAAGAACUACUUUCUCAAGUUUUUGAGUUGUGGGCAUCGUUCAAGAACCCUUGUUUACAUCAUAUUUAUAGCUAUAUAUGUCACCUUAUGAAAAAUACAACCAGGGACAGAGGAUUAUGCUUCAGAACUGUAUGCUGAGUCAUUCAACUGAUUAACAUUUUGAACUAACAGAAAGAAACUAACUAUAACUAUUUUGUGUAUUGGUUGGAGUGGUUAAAUUAAUUGUAGUUGCUACAUUUUUUUCACGGCAAAGUGGAAGCCAUGCCAAAUUGCCUUGCACCACCUUGAUGCCUGUUGUGUUUGCUUCCUUAUUUGUGAAUUUCUCACAAAUUAUUUCCCUUGAGUUUGACAUACUUAUGUUCUCAAGCUUGUCAUUCAAUUAUUGAACUCUGAAGGUGAAUUACCAAGCAAGUGGAUGGGUAGCACAUAGUAAAUCAGAUAUAUGGGCAAGAACAUCAGCAGGUCAUGGUGAUGUUCUGUGGGCUUUAUGGCCAAUGGGUGGAGCAUGGCUUUGUACCCAUCUAUGGGAGCACUAUGCUUACACGAUGGAUAAGGUAACUGGUUUCUGAAUUCUGAAUCAUUCAACGAAGCAAGCCAGAGCAGAACACAAUAAAUUAUAACUAGAAAACAUACAAAGCUAAGCUUUUAAGAAGUCAGUAGCCUUUGGAAGAGUCCUUCUAAAUUUUAAUCCAUUUUAGAAUGGUGUGCUUGUUUGGGUAAUUAAUGCAUAUAAACUUUUUAACAGUUAUGGAAGGAUUAAUUUUGAAAGAUACAAACACAGAAAAAUGAGUUAUAUUUGAGAAUGCUUAUAAAACCUUUACGAUUGAGAUAUAUGAUUGGAUGGUGUUAAAUAGAGUUGUUUUUUUUAAUGAGAAAAUAUACAAAUUUAAUUUGAAAUAAUGUUUAAAUACUGUAAGUGAGGAAAAAAAUUGCAAAAUCAUGUGCAAUGUGGUGGAAUGCUUUUUGGCCAAACUAACAUUCAGCUAGAACUAACAAAGGCAAAUUUUGGUUGUUAUUUCUACAGGGUUUCCUUGAAUAUAAAGCAUAUCCCAUAAUGGAAGGAUGUGUCUCAUUUCUGUUGAGCUGGCUGAUAGAAGACAAUGAAGGAUAUCUUGAAACUAAUCCAUCAACUUCCCCUGAACACAAUUUUAUUGCUCCAAACGGUGAGCCUGCAUGUGUAAGCCAGUCAUCCACAAUGGAUGUGGCAAUCAUACAUGAAGUCUUCUCUACAUUUCUUUCUGCUGCUGAGGUAAAAUUGCUAACCUUUUAACUAACAAACUAUAAGAUGUUCUGUUUACUCAAAUUUGUAUGUAUUUCCAAAACAGGUUAUAGGGAGAACAAAUGACAAUAUUGUCAGAAAAAUUUGUAAAGCUCAACCACGGUUACGUCCACUCUAUAUUGCCCAAGAUGGUUCCAUUAUGGAAUGGGUAUUUUCUUGAAAAUAGAAAAUGCAUGCAACAAUAUUGAAUAAUUAACUUUGAUAUGAUAAAUUGCUAGAUAAAUAGUGGAUUUUCUUGUGGAGGACAGGUGAAAGAUUUCAAGGAUCCAGAGGUACAUCACCGGCACCUUUCACAUCUAUUUGGUCUAUUUCCAGGGCAUACAAUUACUUUUGAGCAAACUCCAGCUCUGUUUGAAGCUGCUGAGAAAAGCCUCUAUAAACGAGGUUUGCAUAAGCUGAAUAAUUAUAGUACUUAUUUUUUUAUCUUGCUAGAGUUCCAGCUAGAGUUUUCUUUAUUGAUUUCUACUAAACUGCAUGGUUCACACCGCACUGUGUUCAAUUUUGUGUACCCCUUUGACAAUUAGAAAUCUUAUAAUCUUAUCCAAUGUGAAGAGUAACAUAGGGUCUGUUGGGGUAAACUUUUCUGAAAGUACUUUUAACAGAAAAAAAUAAAAAGAGAAGAUGAUAAAUAUCUUUAUAAAUUAAAAGUAGUUUAUGUACGAGUUAAAAAUAACUUUUUAAAAAGGUAAUAUGAAAGAGUUUCAACAAAUUAGUUUAUGCAUAAAGUAAUAUUAAUUUUUUCAAAAAAUCAUUUAACCUUUUCUUCUUAUUUUUCUUUUCUGGAAGUAUUCAUGCAGUAGGGAUGACAAUGGAUCGGAUACAGAUAGUGCCUACCCACAAUCCAAUCUGACAAAAAAAAUUCAUUCGUUAUCCGCACAAAUAUCUGCUUAAAAAUUAUCUGCGAGUAUUUUAAAAUCCGCGAAUAUCUAUGGAUUUCCGCAAAUAUUUAAAAAAAAAAUAUUUUUAUAAAUUAUUAAAAUAAAAUUACAAAAAGUAUAAAAAAUAUAAUAUAAAUUAAAAUUUAUUUUUAAUUAAAUUUAACCUUAUAAAAUAUAAAUUAAUAUUAAUUUUAAUUAAAUUUAACUUAAUAAAAUAUAAAUUAAAUUUUUAUUUUUAUUUUUGGCAGAUAGUGGAUAUAUGUGAAUACGGAUAGUAUUACCACCGCAUCCGAUCCAUUUAUAAGCGGGUAUUAAAAUAUCCGCGGAUAAUAAAUAUUUACGGAUACCAAUUAUCUAUCACAGAUUUUAUCUGCAGAUAUCUGUGGGUGCGAAUUCUUUUGUCAUCCCUGUAGAAGUUUAUCCAAACACAUUCAUAAUCUAAAUAAAACUUCAUUCAACUGGAGUCUAAUUUUUUUUGGGAGGGGUAUCAUGUAGAAUUAUACAAAUGAAGGAAACACAUUUACUUUAUUUUAAUACACAAGAGUUGUGGUACUGAAACUAUUACAGCUGCCUGCUGCUGUUCUUAAACAAUGGUUAUCUGCCCUUAAUCAAAACAUUUAUCUUUAACUUUGGAAACAGGAGAGGAAGGUCCUGGGUGGUCAACCACGUGGAAAACUGCUUGCUGGGCACGUCUACAGAACAGUUCGAAUGCAUAUAAGAUGAUCAAGCGCUUGAUAAACUUGGUGGAUCCGGGUCACGAGAUACCGUUUCAAGGUGGACUUUACAGCAACCUGUUUGCAGCGCAUCCACCAUUUCAGAUCGAUGCCAACUUCGGGUAACUUGCUUAGGUGUUUUCUAGUGUUGCAUCCAGACUUAAAUAUCUUGCCCACGUAAGUGAUACGUAUGUGUCUUUAUUUCACUCAAGUCAUUGACGUUAUCAAUAUCCGGCGAAAACAACUACUUGCAAGUGUAACAAGUUACUUUAGCAACCAAGCCUUUGUUUGUUUUACUUGGACUAUAACUAAUUACGCACCAAAACAAAGUACAUGGAGUUGAAUAGCUAAUUUCAAAUAUACACUAUUGUCUUUUCUUUACAUAAUUGUAAAUGUGAUUUGCUGAACCAUUAGAUUUCUGUUUUUGACCUCACAUUUUUUUGUUAUCCUCUCUCAGACUUGUUCAACUUGAUUUUCUCUAAUCCCAAAAAAAGGGUUUAUAUAGGCUUUGUAGCUCAACUGGAAGUGUCUGUGAUAGAUUGAGCAUCAACUAAGGAUUAUUUUGUUGCCAGUUUUGCAGCGGCAGUUGCCGAAAUGCUUGUGCAGAGUACAUUGAGCGAUCUUUUCUUACUUCCUGCUCUUCCAUGGGAGAAAUGGCCAAAUGGCUCCUUGAAAGGCUUGAAGGCUCGUGGAGGAACAACAGUUAACAUAUGCUGGAGAGAAGGGGAUCUUCAGGAGUUUAGUGUAUGGUCCGAGGACCAAACAAGAACAACUCUGAGAAAAAGAAUACACUAUAAAGAAACUAUGGUCACCGCAGACUUAAUGACUGGCGUUUUUUACAGGUUCAACGGACAGUUGAAGUGUUUGAACUCAUGCUCUCUUUCAGAAAUGGCGUCUUCUUGAAUUUGAGGAUUUGAAAUAUCAAUUCUCAUGUUUCGUUGUCUUUUUUUCAAUGGACAAUAGGUAUAGAUUUCCAUAUGGAGUAAUUCAAGAAAACUCCAUAUUAAAAUAUGCUUUUCUAUGUAACAAUUAGCGUGUAAUUCACUUCGUAUCAGUAGGAGACGGUGAUUGUUUUGCCAUGUUUCGGCAGUUUCCUCCUUGAGAGCUCAUCUUUCUUAGAAAAUUUUUACUUUAUAUAAUUUAAAAAUUAUUUUUCUUUAAAAUAGUUUUCAAGUAAAAUGAUUUUUGGAUUAUAAGAUAUGAAAGUCAAAUAAUAAACUGUUAAAAAAUAUACUUUUGAAUUUAUUUUCUUUCUAAUAGCCAAUUUUUUGUAUCUAUAACUAUUAAGAGAAGAAAUUCACUUUUUAUCCAUAAUUAUUGAUAGAGAAAAUAUGCUUUUAUAGCUGCCGUUUCAUCGUGUACAAUUAUUUGCUAAUUUUUUCCUUUACUAAUAUAUCUUAUUUAAUUAUUUUAUCUUUUAAGUUUUAUAAAUAUCUCUAUUAAAAAUUAUGUGGUAAAAUUAUAAAAUAAUUUAUUCUAUAAUUAUUUUUAAUAAAUAUUUUUCAGCUUUAAUAAUAUUUUUAAUGAAAGAUUAAUUUUAACAAAUUAAUAUUUUAUUUUAUCACAAGACAAAAAGAAAAGGUUUAAUACAUCUUUUGGUCCCACCUUUUGGGGCUUUUGUUCAAAAUGGUCCCACCUUUGGAAAAAAUUCACUUUGGUCCCAUAUUUGAUUAAAUUUUGUUCAAAAUGGUCCCUAUGGCUGACGACGUUAAAUUUCUAACUGUGCAGAUGCUGGUGUGGCAAACUAUUAUCCAUCUGUGUCCAAUUUAAAUGAUGUGGCUGUUUGACAAUAUUUAAGGGUAAUUAAAAAACUCCUAAUUAAAAACAAAUUAGGAAAUUAGGGUAAUUGAAAAACCCCAACCCUAAUUGUUCGUCAAUUGUCGCGAUUGGAGAGAAGGCUCUGCUGUUCAUUUGUCGCCAUUGGAGAUCACGUCAGUGGUGAUUGCUUGAAGGUGGUAGUUCAACAUUGCACGGGGAUGAGGUAAGGGUUCACAUUCUAAGGCAAUUCUGUUGUUUAUGUUUGUUUUUGGGGGUUAGGGUUUAAUUUGAUGUUCUGUUAGGGUAGUGCAUUGAUGUUCUAAGGUUACUCUGAUUUUGGGUAGUAUAAAAAGUUGUUUAUUUGCUGUUGUAGUGCAUUGUAUUGUGUGUUAAAUAUCAUUUUUUUGUUGUGGGGUUUUUGGUUGUGGAAGACAGGGGGCGAACAAUUAGGGUUGGGGUUUUUCAAUUAGUUUAAAAUUUUUAUGGAAACAGCGUACUCCUCCAAAGGUCUAAGCUUUUGUCUGAAAACCAUUGCUGGACAUAAUCCUAUCCCUUCAAAAUUUUGGAAGCGAAACAUCAUUCAAUAAGAUGGAAAGGUUGUGUUACCAGGGAGAAAAACAUCAAACAUUUGUUCUUCGAAUACUCCUUUGUAUUUUGAAAGUGUGAUAUGAUUGUCUUGGGUGGUGGGAGGUCAAUCUGUGUUGCACAAUGAGGUCGAAGCUCACUUUACAUAUAGUUGCUAAUUACAAAAUCAGUAUGACUGUUUGAAACACCAUUAAUGGUUGUAUUUUUGUAAUCUGAGAUUGUUUCAAUGAUGGAUUAUACAACACAUUCUCAAUUUUUCCAGUGAUGGAAAGUUUGCCACGCCAAUCGCGACAAUUGACGAACAAUUAGGGUUAGGGUUUUUCAAUUACCCUAAUUUCCUAAUUUGUUUUUAAUUAGGGGUUUUUUAAUUAUCCUUAAAUAUUGUCCACACAUCCACAUCAUUUAAAUUGGGCACAAAUGGAUAAUAGUUUGUCACGCCAGCAUCUGCACCUUUAGAAAUUUAACGUUGUCUGCCAUAGGGACCAUUUUGAACAAAAUUUAAUCAAAUAUGGAACCAAAGUGAAUUUUUUCUAAAGGUGAGACCAUUUUGAACAAAAGCCCCAAAAGAUGAGACCAAAAGAUGUAUUAAACCAAAAGAAAACACAUACUUUGCUAGUUUAUUAACAAAACCUUCAAUAUUUUUACCCUUCUUCCAACCGUUUUAAUGUGUAAUUAAUGUUCAACUUUAUCCUUAUUAAAAUAUUCAUUUUAUUAUUUCAUUAUUUAAGUUUCAUAAUUGUUUUCUUUUAACUCAAUUAAUCACCUAUAAUAAAAAUUAUAAAAAUGAACAACACAUUAUAAAAUUAUAAAAAAUAUUUAUUAUGAUUAGUUUUAACGAAUACUUUUUUUAUAACACUAUUUUUAUUUUAAUAAUUAUAAUAAGGAUUUUUUUUUUUGGUGUUCGGUAAAAAAUAAUAGACACGCGUAUAUUUACACUAGCAAUUAAUUAAGGAGAUUAUUCUUAAAUACUUUUUUUUAAAUUCAAAUAAUUAUUUUAAAAUUUUAAAAAAUAAUUAUUGAAAAGAGAAAAUAAUAAAAUAAUAAUUUUAAUUUAUAAAAAUAAAUAAUUUAUAUUAAUGAUUAUUUAAAAAAUAAAAAUGAAAAUAUAAUUAUUUCUAUUUAAAAUAACAGUUAGUUAAAGAUAAAAUUAUAAAAAAUCAAGUACUGUUUUUAUAUAUAGGUAUAAAUAAAAAAAUAUUUUAGUAAAUUACUUUUUCUCAUUUGAAUAAUUUUGAUUUAAUAUUUAUUUCUUAUAUUUGUUAUUUUUGUUUAAAGUGGUCUUCGAGUUUUUUCAACAUUCAAAAUUAUUAUUUUUAUUUUGUAAAAUUUAUUUAAUUUAGUCAUUUUCAGUGUCUAAAUAGUUAACAACAUAAUUUCUACAUCAGUAAAUAUUGGGUGAGCUGUCAGAUUUUCAUGUAUGUGACAAAUUAAACCAAUACAACAUGGAAACGGACCUAUGUGAAAGUGGGAAAAUUGACUUUACUUUCAAAGGGUGCGGCGGAAACCCUAGCAACCAAAAUGGACCACCGAUUGCAACAACUACGAGUCACCAUUCUCGUUGCCAAAGCACCAUGAAUCUUUACGAAAUCUACCAGGUUCGAAGCCACAACAAACCACCCCGAGCUUCCAUCGUUGUCCACCGUUGAACCCAAACACCAUUCACAAACUUUUAUCUUCAUGUCGCCAUGACGAAUCAACAACCACCAUCAUCUCUCUUAGGCCAUCACCGCGAAUUUAGUAGCGAGGGAUAAACCCUUUGCUACAAUCCCCAAGCUUCAUUAUACCUAUAAAUCAAAAAUCCAUAAACCUAAAAAACCUCAAAUCUCUCGAGCAAACAAAACAUCCUCUAAAAAAAGAAUCCUAAAUCCCAAAAUCAACAUUUUACACACCAAAAAUAAUAUUUUACUUGUUUUCCCAAAACAUAUCACACAAAAAUGGAAAACAAACAAAAGUCAAGACCUUGCAAAAAAAAAAACAUCAUGAAAAAAAAAUGGAAACCGGAAUAGUCCAAAUUUUUUUUUCAUAGAAACCACUUUCCUUUACCAUGUACAUUCAAAACUAACAACUCAUUUAAUAUUAACUUAGGUGAACUUUAUACCAUUAGCGAUUUAGAUAUCAUUGAGAAAAAUAAUUAAAUUACAAUUUUUAUAAAAAAGAUGAUUACUUUCAACGUUCAAAUAAAUCCAAAGAUCACUUUGAAUAAAAGUGAUGAAGGAUUACUUUGAAUAAAAGUGAUGAAUAUAAGACUGAAAUAGAUAUUAAGCUAAUAAUUUUUUAUUUUAAUAAUUAUUAUAAUAAUAUCUUUUAUUUUUUAUUAUUGAAAGAAAAGUAAACCCAAAGUAUUUUCACUAGUAUGUUAUAAAUAAGAAAAAAUAAUUAUAUAUUUUUCUUUCUUUAGAUGGUUUAUUGCAUAAUUCUUAGAUAAUGUGUUAUUGGGUUAAAAAAAUAUUCAUUGGUUUUAUAUGGAUUUUUUGUAUUCAAAGCGGUUUUGAUGGGUAAAAAAUACCGACAUGCAUCAAUUAACAUAGUAUUCGAAUGAAUACAUUAUUCUUUUUAUCCAUUAUCAACUAAAUAGUUUAAUAAUUUUUUGUUUUGUUUAUGUCUUUAAUUUUCUUUUCAUUUGAGAAAUGAUAUUCCUAAUAAUUCAUUUUAUUAGUUUUUGAAGAAUAUUUUUGAAAAAUAUUAUGAAAUACAACAAAGUUUUUCAUUUUUUAAUUCUUAAUAACUAUGCACCAUUUUUUUUACAAUAUAUAAUCUUAGAUAAAAUGGUGAUUAAAAGAAAUGAGAGAUUUAUCAAGAAAAAAAGUAUUAUAUUAAAGAUAAAAAUAUAAAAAAAUGUAGUUUUAUUAAAAAGUAAAACGUAAGUAUUUAAUUGCUUCCAAUCACAAAACAUUGAAUUAGAAAAUAUUCAUUGGUUUUGUAACCUAAGGCUUUUUCUUUUUAUUUAAAGUGUUGCUGAAUUUGAUAAAAAGAGCUUCAUGCAUGAACCAACAUUAAUAAUAUAAUUCUAACAUUAAAUACAUUAAUUUUUUUAUUUAUGAAUAAUUUAAUUAAUUUAUUCUAUGUAUGCAUCUUCAAUCCCCUCAUCUUUAAUGAAGGUGUUAAGAUGAUAUACUUAUUUGCACAUUUAUCACAUAAGUAUAGUUUUCUAAAUCUUCUUUUACCCGUCUUUUAAGAUUGUUUUAGAGAAAUAAAAAAAAAAAUACAAUGAAAAUGCUUGACUAUAAUAAAACAAAUUUACAAAUUUUUAUGUCUUCAUUUUCUCUCUUCACCUUCAUAAGCGAUAAAUGUAUAAAUUACAUAAAGAUUUAAAAAAAAAAUUAAAACAUGAUUGCUUAUGAAAACAGUAUUAAAACAAUUUGUUCUUUUAAGAACACGAACAAUCUUUUUAUCCAAAAAUUAAUUAUGUAUAUAUAAAAAUUAAAGACAAUGAUAAUAUAAGUUGAAAAAAAUAGAAAAGACAAAAUUAUUAAUUACAUGAUAAAUUAUAUUGUAAAAUCAUGACAACAAUUAUAUAUAUAUAUAUAUAUAUAUAUAUAUAUAUAUAUAUAUAUAUAAUUGAUAUAGUUGAAGUGGUGUUCUGUGUUUUGUCUUCCUCUGUCCAUAGUUGUGCAUGGAGAAGUGUGUCAGUGCAUCAUCUUCUCCAUAUCCGUCACCACCACCACCACCACCGGAGAUCAAACAUGUGGUUGAUUCAGCUGAGUCCACUCCAAAAGAGGGCUUCUUCUCCUCUUUGAUUCAGAGUCACACCAAUUUCGAUUCUCUUUGGAAGAAUUCCAUUUCUGUUGAUGCUCUCUCGUGUUCCAUGGCCAGGCUCUGCUUCACCGCCACCCCUCCAUCAAUUCCACCCAAUUGCUCCACUGCACUCUGCUGUCACUGUUCUGCACAAUUCCUUCAGCAUCACACUUCCUCUACGCUUCAAGAUGUGAAGGCGCAGUUCAUCUCAGUCGCACAAAUGCCCCGUCAGCAGUUGGGGAAACCAGAGGUGAUGGAGAAGAUCUUCAGCCAACUCAAGGAUCACAUCUGUGACCUAAUGAUGGACCAACAUUGCGAUCUUUCCAUUCUAGUUAUUUUUCAAGCUAGCACUGUCCACCAAAUGACCAGGAUUCUUCACUUGGUCAUUCAAAACCAGCACAAGCUUAAGGAAGUGUGCAUGCAUAAUCAUGGGUACCUCUGUUCUAUAGAUUAUGCUUCUGUUUCAAUUUCUUAUUACAUUAAUUCUAACUUCAAUGUUUUGAAUCUGAAUUCUUACACACUGCAGGAGUUUGGUCUUCCAGAAGUUGUUGGAGCAUUUGAAGACUCCAGAUCAGAUAUCUGCUGCUGUAUUCGCUGUGAAGAGGAUCUGUGUGAGAUUGAGUAAGAAUAUCAAUGGUGGUCAUGUCAUUCACCACUGCCUCAAACUUUUCUCCCCUGCGCUUACAACAGUAAGUCAUCUCCAUGCUUCUUCUUAAUAUCAAAUUUCUAUCACAUUGUUUUUACUGUAUAGUAUAAUCAUAUGAUUUGUAUUAAAGCGUCCUUCAUUUCUCUUGUAAUUUAUUUAACAAUUUCUAAAUAAAAAGUUGAUAUGUUCAUUAUUAGGUACCAACUAAAUGGUUCAAUUACAAUAGUGAUGAUGCUUUGUCAUAUGCCCACAAACAUAAAGAACCGAAAAUAAGAAACAUAGUUUAAACGAGCAGCAACCACACAAUACACAAAAUAAAUAUUAUACUCUAUUGACAAUAUUUUUCACAUUUAAUAAACAUUUUGUGUCUCUAUCAGAAGAUUAACUGUCAUGAGAUUAAUGUAGUCUUUAGACACUCUGUCUUAAACUUGUUCAUUCACCACAAAGUACUUUUACUAAAUUCACUGUUCUUGAAAUACCUUUUCUCAGGAAAGGAAAAUAAAAGCAUUUGGCAAGAGUCAUGUUCAGUAUUGAAGACUCAUUUACAACUAGUUUUAAUGCAACUUUCUGGAACAUUUACAAGAUUUCUUUAGUUUCGUGUAUUUUAAUUUUUCUUUCAAAACAUUUAAGCUCCUAUAAAAAAUGAUCACAAUAAGACCUGUGAAAAUCAAAUUGGUCCAUUAUCGUCAAUACUUAAUUCGAUUUCUAUCUACUGAAUCAUUCAAAAUAUAUUAACUUCUUUCUAUUUAAGACCUUAUCAGUGUUACUAUUACUUAGCUUGUUUAGGGUUGUCUCGUAUUACAAUGUUUAUGAUCUUUCCCAGGUUGUGAAUAUGAAUAUAUAAAUAUAUUCUCAUUUGAAAAUCUUCCUCUCAGUUUAUUAUAGACGAAGUAGCAGAGAACUGUGUGGAAAUUGCAACAGACAAAAGUGGAUGUUCUACCCUUCAAAAAUGCCUUCAUCAUGCAAAAGACAAUACUAUGAAGCGGCUGAUUCAAGAAAUAGUCUCACAUGCUUCACUCCUUACUGAACAUCCUUUUGGGUUUAUUUCCAAUUCUUUAUCUUCCUUUUUUCUUUUUAGAAAUAUAUUCUUUUAACGCUUCAUUAUUAGUUAAAAUAUAUCAAGGCUCCUAGUUUUUUGUAAGUCUUACUUCACAUUUAAUAUGAAUCUCUUUUUGAUUGUAUUAUUUUAAAAAAACAAUAUAUUGUGCUGGAAAAAGUGAACUAAGGAGUAUAUUAUGCAUGAAUUGCAAUUUUAGAAGUGAUGAUAACACACUCUUUCUAUAACACACUUCACUACUAAUUAAGAUGGAAUGAAGUCUAUAGAAUCAAAGAGGAGAUUUAUCAAGUCAGAAGUGGAAAACGAUAUUUAUAAUACAUUUUAGUCAAGAAAAAGUGUUAAAAAUUGUAAUUAUUUUAGUCAAGAGAAAGUGUUAAAAAUUGUAAUUUUUUUUUUGUCGUACUUCAUUCAGUUUAAACUUAACUAUUUAUUUUUUUACAGAAAUUAUGCUGUGCAGUACGUUGCUAAAAUGAAGAUACCUAGUGUAAAUGCAGAGAUCAUGUUACAACUUCAAGGUAGGUAUGCUCAAUUAUCUACGAACAAGCAUGCUAGCAAUGUGGUGGAACACCUCUUAGAAUUCUCAGAAGAGAAGGAUGCAGCUAAUAUUAUUCAGGAGUUAAUGUACACUCAAAAUUUUUUGAGGAUUAUACAGGAUCCUUAUGGGAAUUAUGUUGUUCAAAGAGCGCUGCAAAAUUGCAAGGUUACACAGAGCUUAACACUUACCUUUUUCGUAUCAGUGGACCAUUUCUUUAAAAUAUGGUUGAAUGCAUUAACUAAGGGUCUGUUAUUUAUUUGCAGGGCAGUGUUUAUAAAAUGCUUUCAACUAUAAUUUUGUUGAAUUAUCCAUAUCUGCACACCCAUCCUUAUGGGAAACGGGUUCUGACCUUUGUCCAAAGACGCAAGAACUAUGAACAAAGGCAUAUAUAAAAAGAGGAUGGCUCUUCUGCUUGAUGCAUCGAUGAAACUUUUGUUAGUGUUUUUUUGAACUCUUCAUAGUUUGUUUCAGAAGCUUACUUAUGCGAGCCAGACUAUUAUGAGAAUUCCCCAAGGGAACAAUCAAUGAAGUGAGUUUUGUUUGUAGUUAUAACUUUGGAUAUUGUUAUUGAUAGUUUCUAUUUCGCCUAUGAAACAAACUUUUGGUGGAUGUUAACUUUUCGAUCUUGAAUGGUGUUUGGUUUUCUUGUUGAUAUAUUCAUAAUGUGACGUAUGUAGAGUGGGAAUAGAAUAUGAUAAAGUAUGCAAAAUAGGAGUACUAUAGUUGAUAAAAAAGAAUGAAGAGAUGGAAGAAGAUAGUGAGCCACAUAAACUAAUAAUAGUGGAAUACAGAAUAACUGCCCUCAAAUACAAAACCUCCUCUGAAAUCUCCCAAGAAUGCAAGCAAUGUAUAUAAUUCAAAUACAGUAAUAGAGUCCCAUAUCACAUACACGUACAAAAUAAUAUAUAGAAGGUAAUUAAUAGCAAAAAAACAUGAAUUGGGUCCGAAGACAGAGAUCUCUAGAACAUCAUGGACAGCAAAGCGCAUGCCAAUACUAUGCUCCUAAUCAUCUUCUUAAAGGACAACAACUUUUCCGCCCCACUCUGCAAUGCCACAAAUUAACAUCAUUCAAAUAUUUUAGACUGAAUACAUGUGUAUUGCAAAUGGACAUAAUGGAGUGAAUUGAUUCUGUUAAUGAAAAACGAGAAAGAUGUAAUGAGAUUGGAAAGAAAGAGAGGAGUGAAGAACUUACAUCAUCACCGGAGGGAGAGAUGGUGGAGAGGCUGGGACCGGGAGCCAAGGAAGGAGAGAGAGACGGGGAAAGCAGACUGGCAGGAGCGGGAGCUGGAGAUGUGGCUGGUGGAGAGGAGAGAGGUGCUGGGGUCAAUGCCGGCGGAGGAACUGCUGGCGGAGGUGUUGCCGGUGGAGGGGUGGCUGGUGGGGGAGUGGCAGGAGGUGGUGAAAAUGGAGGGGGAGAGGCCGGGGGUGGAGUUGCCGGGGGAGGGGAUGCGGGUGGUGGAGAGGCCGGAGGAGGGGAGGCAGGCGGUGGAGAGGCCGGAGGAGGAGAACUGACAGGUGGGGGUGUGGCAGCCGGUGGUGGAGACUGAGCAGGAGGAGGCGAAGACUGAAGAGGCGGCGGAGAGGACUGAGCGGGAGGCGGAGAAGACUGGAGGGGAGGUGGGGAGGCCUGGGGAGUGGUGGGGGUGGGAGGCGCAGGAGAGGUGGUUGGGGAGGUGGAUGGAGCCUGGCCAACAACGCCGGCAACUAUGGUGCAUAUCAAGGCAACGAAAAAAACGAAAUGUUGCUCCAUGUUUUGUUCUUGUGUGGUGAACCGGCGGAAGUGGUGGCAGUUUGAGUAUGAGAGCGAAGCAGAGGAGAGGUUAUAUAGGCAGAGUCUUCGGUAAGUUUGGAUCUAAACGCAACCAAACGCACACAUCUCAGCAUGAGUAGCCAGACCCACCACCACUCAUGAUAGCACGGCUCUAACCACCAAAAUCAUAGUGCGAUGUGCUACCUCAACUUAACUUAUAACCCAACUGUUUAUUCACCUAAGCAUGUCAACAUUUACAUCUUCAACAAAACCAAUCCUUUUUUUUCUUUUCGUUAGCUUUUCAAAUCAACUUGGAUUUCAAUUUCAAAUCAACACCGUCACUCAAACUCAUUUACCACCUUUUUUACUUACUUACUUUACUACCUCCCAACAAUAUAUCAGUAAAUUAAUGUGCUUGCAUGUUGCUUACGUAUUCCUCUAGUUAACACUCUGGUAUUUGAUGAAUUCUCUUAAGACUUCUGUCAUCAAUAAAACCACAUCGUAUUCCACAUAUCAAAUAUCACCAUUUAAAGCUUUCCUGUAACAAAAUCUCGAUGAUCAUUUAUUAAAUAUCAGUAAAAGUGAUAUGCUUAAUUUAAAUCAUAGAGUAUAUGCAAAUCAUUCUGGUCUGAAAAACACACAAUGAAAUCAUACCAGAAUGAUUUAUAUGUAUAGUAUUCAGCACAUGUGUCUAUUAAAUUGAUAACCUGAUUAUUGUUAAUUGUCACGGGCACAGUGGCAUUGCCAAUUCAUAUUUGGUUUCCUUUGUCUUUUUUCUUUCAUUGAAAUUCUAAGUUUGUCUCUAAUCUGUGUAUAGGGUGGUGCAUGGGGUGGGAGAAGGAAGUAUUAAGAAGGCAGAUGAUUGAUGAUGGUGGAAAAGCAUGUGGAAGUAUGCAUGAGAAGAAUAUAUGAAUGGGGAAAAAAGGGCUAAGUGUGGGUCAUGGGGGAGCAUGUGUGAUUUGUACUCCAAGUUCAGGGCUGUGGGAAAAGCCAAGGACUGGUUGGUAAGGUGGAUCUCCCUCCCCACAUACUCAUCAAUCAUCAUGUCUCUCUCCCAUUAAUCUAUCUCCAUCUAUAAUAUUAAUCUUUUCUUUAAGAGUAUUUAUGUCAAACAUGUUACAGACAAUUAAUUUUUGAAUGGUUUAUGCAGGACAGCCUUGGUAUACUUAUUAACAGAUCAUAAGUUGUGAUGAUUAAUUAUAUAGCUUAACAUGGACCAUAAGUUAACAAGCCCAAAUUAUGGUGGGGAGCAAUAAUAAACAUGAUUAUUUGGAUUCACAUGUGGUGUUUGCUUUUCGUUGAAUCAAAGCGGGUAAAGAUAUGAAUAGGAACAGGAACAGGAACAUGGAGAAAGUUAAUUAACGAUGAAAAGUGAUUAGAAGUUUGCUUAGAAAACAAUCGAAUUGGAUGUGACAUUGAGGUGUCUUAAUUAUGUAUAUUUAUAGAGAUACAGAAAUAUAGAAGGAAGCAGUUUUUGUUUGUUGGAACUUUGAUUUCAGAAAGGGAGUAUCUACCAAAAGAACCAACUCAUAUUUGCUUAGUACAACCACCCUCUCUUUCUAGUGCAGAAUAAGGUGGUCCUUUUGUUAGCUCCUAUAUUUUCCUACAUCAAUCAUCCUCCUCGUUAAGCAACGCCCUUCAACUAACCAACCUUCACACUCUUCUGCUCUUUAUUUAUCCUAUUUCCAGAUUACCAUGUCGCUUUUCGGAGAUUGCUUCAAUUUACAGACAAUGAUUGAGGAACUAAUCAUUGUGCAUUCAAGCACUCACCUUCCACAUCGCAAGUUAAGCUUCUAAACUCCUGUAACACUCUGGUACAAGAACUCAGAACUUUCGAUAAAUAAUAUGCAUAAAGAUGUCGUUUUUAUAGUUAUUGUUUCAAAGAAAAAUUAAAACAAUUCAAAAUUAUCUUUGCAGGCCAAUUCGUUGCAACUCGGAUUAAAAUUGAACCCAGUCCCCUAAAUAUUCGCCUCGUCCAAAUUAAAUAUGUAGUGAGUUAAGUUGAUUAAUUGAUUCAUUGGUAGAUGAAUAAAUGAUAAUGAUGAUUUUAUGUUAGAUAAUAAUUUGUUUUGUAUUUUUAUAUUUUUAGAUAGUAUUUAGAGUUUAACAUUAUUUUAAAUUGUAUUAUAUUUUUAUUUUAUACUUUAGAUUGUAUCUGAAAUUUAAUAUUAUUUUGAAUUGUAUUUAAAUUGAAUUUUAUUAAAUUUUAAUUAUAAAUUUUUUUAAGAUUUAAUAAAAAAAAUUAUAAUUAAAUGAAUUAAUAAAUCAAUCCCUUUAAUUGACAAACCCAUAAUAGAUUAAAUUAUAUUCGAAUCUUUUAGAUUUUUUUAAAAAUAAAUUGAAUUGAAUUACCUUAUUAACUGAACACCCACGAUAAAUAACCUAUGAUAGCGUAAUUGAUAUAUAUUUUUUCUCUGAUGUUUAUUUAUUUGUAAAGAGUUUAUUAAUGUUCUAUAAGUAAUUAUACUGUUUUGUUGUUUUAUAUAUUUAUUUAUAAAGUGAUUAAAGUAUUGUAAUUAUAAUUUUUUUUUUACCAAAAUAGCAAGUGUGAGUACUUUUUCUUUUCUUGAAUAGUUUUUUUAAUUAAAUAUUUUCAUAAUGGUUUUCGUUUCUUAAGGAUUUUGUUUUCAAUUGUCGCUACAUUUAAUAAAAUCAAAAUUCUAUUUUUCAUAUAGAUUAAUUCUGACUUGGUCUUUUCAAUUAUUAUUGAAAAUUUUAAUUAAACUUUUAAAUAAUUAAUAUUAAUUAAAAAAUACUAUGUCUUUUAUUAUUAAUCAAUUUAUUCAUAUAGUUUGUAAAUAUUAUUAAUAAAUUUACUAAACUAUUCAACCACAAUAUAAUGAAUCCACAGUAGUAUAAAAUAAAAAUUCAAUGAAAAACUUAUUUUCGUAAAACCAAAAGGUGAAAAUAAAAAUCAGCAGAUUCUUUCUGCACCUCCGUAUCUUUUUCUUUUCAGCAUUUCAUAUAAGAGAAUUUCGAUUUAUAUAAUUUAGAAGUUAAAAAUAACUUUCGAUUUUUUUUUAAUUUUAAAUUGUAUAAUCUAGAAGUCAAACUCAUGUUUACUUUUUGAACUAUAAAAUUCGAAAAGCUUCCAGAUAAUCUGAAUGUAAUUUUUGUCUUUUAGAUUAUACAAUUAAAAAAAAUAAAAUGUGAAAUUUAUUUUAUGAACGUGGAAGAAAAAACAUACGAAGUGCAGGAAGAAACUGCCUGGAUACCGAAGCCCUCGAAAACCUGUUGGGCUUCUUCUCACUACCCAACCAAUGCCCAGUUGGGAAUUGGGUUGUGUACCUAUAAUUAUUUCCUGCACUUCAUUCAAAAUGAUCUUAAAAGAUUUAUUUCCUAAAGGAGGCAGUGCAGGAGAAAUUUCGAAGGUGUGGUAAGUAAAUUAUCUACCAAGUUGUUGGACCAAAGUGGAUUUCGUCUGGGCUGAGGCCAUUUCUCUUGGGCGGGGUCUGUGAGGAAACAGAAGAAGCUAUUUUUCUUAAAAAAGUUUAGGGUUUUCUAUCUUCUUUUUCUAAUUUGAAGUACAAAAUUGUGAAUUUUUCUAAUUAAUUUUUUUCAUUACUUAUUUAAAAUAUUGCAACGGUUUACCGUUGAAUUCUGUAUGUAUUAAUAUAUAAAAUAUAAUAAAUAUAUAAAUUGUUUGUAAAAAUUUGAAACGGGAGGGUAUUUUGGUAAAUCGAAGGAGAUAUUGGCGAAGGAGAAGAAGUAUAGAAAGUGUGAGAGUGUAUUAUCUUGUUGGUUUCUGUGUUUGUGUGUGGGUAGAUAGUGUGGCUAUGGCUGUGGCUAUGUCUCUGUCUUUCGGGCUCUUGUCUUCCUCCGUUCUCCUUCCAGAGGCCCACACGCUGAGCUUCACGAGGCCUUCGCGUUCUGCUUCUGCUUCUCCACUGCGCAUGGUUCGAACCGUUAUCUCUUGCAAGGUCUCUCAGUCCGACCAAGGAACCCGCAAAAUCCGUGGCAUCAUGAAACCCCGUGAUGUCACCCCUGAAAUGGCAGCCCUCGUCGGCGCUCAACAGAUUUCCAGAACCCAAGCCCUCAAACUCAUUUGGGCUUAUAUCAAGGCCAACAAUCUUCAGGUCCCCAUCUUCCCUCCUUUUCCAAAUACCUAAUCUAUUCUCUGCUAUUCUUCACCGUCAAUUUUUUUUCUCUUCUUUUAGGGUUUGCUUCAUUCUUUUUUUAAUGGGGAUUUUGACUUUUCAUUUCCAUACCAAUCUCUUUACUCGUUAUGUUUUGCCUUUAAUAUAUUUAUUCUACAUGGGCCUUCUCAAUUUCUUCAUACUUCUUUCUCAUCCAUGUAUUUCCAAGUUUUACCUCGUGUUCUUUGGUUUGGUGCUGCGUUAUUUUGAUAUAUUAUGUUAUUCUGUUUCUAUGUCGCAUUCCAAAAAUACAUUAAGCAACACAUAGUUUUAACUGAACCGUUUGUGUAAUUCUGAUAGGACCCUGAAGACAAGAGGACUAUAAUUUGUGAUGAGAAGCUGAAGAAGAUAUUUGAAGAGAGAGAUCGAGUUGGUAUGCUAGAGGUUGCUCGCUUGAUUAGCCCUCACUUCCUUAAAACUGAAGUUUAAGUUCUUGUAUGAAGGUCGACCGUUGGUGUAUUCAACAGUUAUAUUUGGGAGUAUUUUGUCCUGCGACAAAGUAGCUUUUUUUUUUUUGCACUUGAAAUGCAGAACCUGCAUUGUUGAAGAGUUCGUUUUGAUUGGUGUAGUCUCUUCAGCGAGCGUUAGUGGUUAACUAUUAGGUUUCUAUUUCACUAUUAGGUUUCUAUUUGAUAUCUUAAAUGUUAUGCUUCUAAGUUCUGCUUAUUAUUCUGCUAUUCCCCUGUGCUUAUUUAGAAGUGUUUAGCCACAUUCACAGCGUUGAAAGAUGAAUGCACCGGAGAAUUAAUGGGAUGAUUAAAUUGCUAUUACCUUUUGGUUUAAGGUAGGAUCGCCGAUACGUUAUGAACAGGGUGAGUAGAAGAAGGGUGGCAGUGUUAAUCCCGAGUUCUGAACUAGUGCAAUUUCAUUGUUAGCAACCUUCCUUUUCUUUACCAUGGUGCACUGUAACCUAUUCUGGUGCUUAUUUUAUUAUGAUAACGAUGUUAAUGAUGCAACAAACAUAGAAUGGUCAAAAUGUGAGUUCGAGAAGGGUGACCCUUACGCUUUUUAAAUUGGAAUACUGAAAGACAGAUAAUUUCAUUUUGAAUGGUUCCUCCUGUGUCUCAAUCUGUUGUUGGUAAGGUCUUCAUAUAUUGCACAGAUUUACAUGAUUAGUCACUCUCACUACUAAUAAACACAGUUGCAUCGGUGAACUUAAACCAUAAUUUUUAUGUUCGGGGGUAACAUUAUCCACUUAAUGGGCAUGACAAGUUACAAAUAGCUAAAGCGAAAACUCAAAGUGGUACAUUUCACAAUAUGACUGCUCUUUCUGAUAUUCAAAACGGAAAAUAAACGGCUAUAACUAUUUUUUGUCAUUUUUAGAUAUACUAGCUCUGACAUAGAAAUCUAAACAUGGUAGGCAUAUAGAUUAUUGCUAUGAAGUUUUUCUUUUUUUUCCAACGGUAACAUAAGGCAUACAGAUUAAUUAAUUCCGCACAUAGUAGAUCUCCGAUUAUUCCGAUUAAUAUUCUAAAGUUUGUAUAAGAAGGUUUAAAGAGGCUGCUUACGGGCUUGAAAUGGGGGGGCAUAAGGCCGAACUUCUUGUCUUACUUUGUCUUCUCUUCAACCCACGUUAAGACCUUAGUUAAUUGCUAAUCCAAUGCAAUUGUGGUCUGUUCUGUAAGGGUGCGGUCUUGUGUUUGUUUUCCUUUGUAUCACCCAAUGAUGAAAAAAAUAAGAGGUUGCUAACUUGAAAUAUCCUCUUAUUAAUUAUGGUAAAAAAUCAUUUUAAUAUUAUAAUAGUGGUUAGAAAUGUGGAAAACAUCUUUUUUUCAUUUGUUGUUUGGAUUAAGGUUGGGAAAUUAAGGUGUAAUGUAUGAGGUUGGAGUUGGGCCUGGUUGCAUUACUAGGCGGGUAGAUAUGGUAUGAGUUUGAAUCCAUUUUUGGAUUUCACUGAAAAUUGGUGAAGCUACGCGGGACACGUGUUGAGGAAAACUUUGGCAUAAAAUAUCGGAGCUUCGAAUGCCAAUUCCACACACAGCAUCACAAGAAGCAAGAGGAUGGGGAUGGUAGAAAAGGUGGCUCUUCCUCUGCUCCUCCCAAACCCACCGCCCCCGUCACAGUCACCGUCAUCGUCACCGUCGCCCCUUUCUUCCAAACCCAAUUCUGUUGGAGUGAUGACCCCUGGCCCCAGCCCUACCCCUGCCCCUACUCCAACUGCUGCACCGCCAAUGACCACCCUUAUCCAUGACCUGAAUACCGGUUCCAGUUCUCGUCCCCGACACCGCGUCGCUCUGGGGAAGUCCUUCGACCCCAACCGCGGCAAGCCAUGGUCUCCUCACGGCCUUUCUUCUUCAGGUCAGCAAAUUCUCCGCACCUUAAUUCGUUCCGAUUCCAAUACCAAUUCCAAUUCCGUUUCCACUCACUUAGAUAAUAUUCUGCGUCCUCUUCUGGACCAACCAAAUCCCGCUUCCGAUAUAUUGGGGAUAAUCAAGGCUUUAGGCUUUAACAACAAAUGCGAACUUGCCUUCGCCGUCUUCCAAUGGGUUCGAACCACUCACCAUUCCGUUCCGCUUUUUACCACUUCUGCAAUCACUGUCAUCUUCAAAAUUCUCGGAAAAGCGGGGCGGGUCUCAUCCGCGGCUUCCCUACUCCUGGCUCUUCAAAACGACGGCGUUCUCAUUGAUGUCUAUGCCUACACCUGUUUGAUAAAUGCGUACUCCAGUAGUGGCAGGUACAGGGAUGCCGUCAACCUCUUCAACAAGAUGCAACAAGACGGCUGCAAUCCCACUCUCAUCACAUACAACGUCGUUCUCAAUGUGUACGGCAAAAUGGGCAUGCCUUGGUCUAACGUCACUGCCCUCGUUGACUCCAUGAAGUCUCGCGGGAUUGCCCCCGAUCUCUACACUUACAAUACGCUUAUUAGUUGCUGUCGCCGCGGUUCUCUCUACGAAGAAGCUGUUCACCUCUUUGAGCAGAUGAAGCUGGAGGGUUUCACCCCUGACAAGGUUACCUAUAAUGCCUUAUUGGAUGUUUUUGGCAAGUCCAGACGCCCCAAAGAGGCUAUGCAGGUCCUCAGAGAGAUGGAAGCCAAUGCCUUUUCUCCCACUGUUGUUACUUACAAUUCCCUGAUAUCUGCUUGUGCUAAAGGUGGUUUGUUGGAGGAGGCACUCCAGCUUAAAACCCAAAUGCUGGACAAGGGGAUUCAGCCUGACGUCUUUACCUACACCACCCUUUUGUCCGGAUUUGAGAAGGCCGGAAAAGACGAGCUUGCCAUCCAAGUUUUUGAAGAGAUGGGAUCCGUGGGAUGCAAGCCUAAUAUUUGUACCUUCAAUGCCCUUAUUAAGAUGCAUGGCAACCGAGGAAAGUUUGCCGAAAUGAUGAAAGUUUUUGACGAGAUCAAGGUGUACAAUUGCUCCCCUGAUAUUGUUACUUGGAACACCCUUCUGGCCGUGUUUGGACAAAAUGGAAUGCACUCCCAGGUGUCUGGAAUAUUUAAAGAAAUGAAGAGAGCUGGCUUUGUGCCCGAGAGGGAUACUUUCAACACUCUGAUUAGUGCCUACAGCAGGUGUGGUUCCUUUGACCAGGCAAUGGCCGUUUACAAGAGCAUGCUCGAAGCUGGAGUGGUGCCGGAUCUUUCUACCUACAAUGCUGUUUUAGCAGCAUUGGCCCGAGGAGGGCUCUGGGAACAAUCUGAGAAAGUCCUUGCUGAAAUGAAGGACGGACGGUGUAAACCUAAUGAGAUGUCGUAUUCUUCUUUGCUUCAUGCUUAUGCCAAUGGUAAGGAGAUUGACAGGAUGAAUGCUCUUGCGGAGGAUAUAUACUCCGGCUCUAUUGAAACACAUCCGGUUCUUCUGAAGACCCUUGUUCUAGUAAACAGCAAGAGUGAUCUCCUGAUGGAUACAGAACGUGCCUUUUUGGAAUUAAGGAGAAGAGGAAUUUCGCUUGACAUUACUACUCUCAAUGCAAUGCUUUCGAUAUAUGGGAGGAAGCAGAUGGUGGCCAAAGCCAACGAGAUUUUGAACUUCAUGCAUGACAGGGGAUUUUCUCCGAGUUUGACUACAUAUAAUAGUUUAAUGUAUAUGUACAGCCGUUCUGAAAACUUUCAAAAAUCAGAAGAAAUCUUGAGGGAAGUUCUUGAGAAAGGUACGAAACCUGAUAGAAUUUCAUACAAUACUGUUAUUUAUGCAUAUUGCAGAAAUGGUAGGAUGAAGGAGGCUUCGCGAAUAUUUUCUGAAAUGAAAGACUCUGCACUUAUUCCUGACGUUGUAACUUACAACACAUUUAUUGCAACUUAUGCGGGCGACUCGAUGUUUGCUGAAGCUAUUGAUGUAGUUCGAUACAUGAUCAAGCAGGGAUGUAAACCAGACCAGAAUACUUAUAACUCCAUUGUUGAUUGGUAUUGUAAGCUCGACCGUCGGGAUGAGGCCAACAGUUUUGUUAAAAGCCUUCGUAAUCUUGACCCACAUGUUUCCAAGGAGGAGGAAAAUAGGUUACUUGAGAGAAUAGUUAAAAUGUGGCCAUAAGUUUUUUCAUGAUUCUGCUAUACUGGAACUUGAGUGUUUCUUGACCUCUUGUUUUAAGAUGCCCUUAGUCCCUUCUUCCUCCUUGUUUCAUAUGUUAUAUAAUAUCAAGUAUGAGUUGGGAUUCACCGCUUGUAGAUCUAAAUGACGGUGAUCCUUUAAUGGGGUUUAUCUGCAGGAAAAGGAAGCAGUAUGUCUCCGCAUCGAUGCUUGCAGGUGGGGUUGGUGUAGAAAGAUGGAAAUUUAGGAAUAGUAAGAGGAGUGGUAGGGUUUUGAAUGUCAAUACCAUGUAGAAUUAACUAAAUGGCAACCUCCAUCGAGAAAAAUAACUCGUGAAAGCAAUGCUUUUGGUAUAUAGGUUCACUUUGUAACAUUAUUUCGUGUUUGAUUUGUAGUGGAGUGCGUCCUUAGCCAAAAAAAAAAAAAAAACAACAGUAUUAUGUUUUCUGUUUUGGGAGCCCUGUCAUGGACCAUUCCUGCAGAUACGAGUGCUGUCUGUCUGAAGUGCAAAACAUAUUAAAACCAUAACUGUCUGUCUGGGUUUUGGCUUAUAUUUAUGUUUUUCUCCCUCCGAUUCCGGCAAGUUCUCGAUCAGCAAUGCUAUUUCUGCACAGCUCUGAAAUUGUUUCAUUCAAUCUUCUUCCAAUCAUCUCCCCCAAAAGCAACAGAGUAAAUGAUAUGAUACUGUACCUGUACAGUACCAGUAAAAUGAUACGUUGAUACUUGUGAC
rnacentral:lncRNA from 1 species